CCUAAGCAGGGGACUGAAGGCGAUUAAAUCCUCUUCUAUUCAAUUUUGACUAUCAAGGGAUUUAAUCCCCCCCAAACCACCUUCAAUCCCCUCCUAACUUAAAACUAGCACAGGUGAAGUCCCAACAAAAAUCACAAACUUUUAUUUACCUCACUAAGGAGGAUAUCAACAAGUAACUUGGUUGAAGCAGCAUCCUCCUGCGAGCCCUUUGCCGGAGUCAACUUGAACGCGUAGAGGAUUUUAGCCUCUUCAAUCCCCUCCAAAUCCCUUGGUCCCAAACAAGCCCUAAGCAGGGGACUGAAGGGGAUUAAAUCCUCUUCUAUUCAAUUUUGACUAUCAGGGCUUGUUCGGUUCUACCCCAAUCCAUAUGGACUGAGGGGGAUUGAGAGGGUUUUAAUCCCUAGCAAGUCAAAAUCCCUCUCAAUCCAUAUCAACCUCCUUCAAUCCAUAUGGAUUGAAAAUAACCGAACAUGCCCUCAAGGGAUUUAAUCCCCCCAAACCACCUUCAAUCCCCUCCUAAAGUCCUAACUUAAAACUAGCACAGGUGAAGUCCCAACAAAAAUCACAAACUUUUAUUUACCUCACUAAGGAGAAUAUCAACAAGUAACUUGGUUGAAGCAGCAUCCUCCUGCGAGCCCUUUGCCGGAGUCAACUUGAACGCGUAGAGGGGAAGCUUGGAAGCUGCUCAAAGAUGCAAAUGUUAAUCCAAUAAAAGUGCAGAGUAAUUUGCUACUUCCAUGUCCAGUGAAGCAAGUACAAUACUAAUUUGCUGAUGUCUUAGUGAGGUUUCCACCAAGUCAAAAAAGAAACCAUAUUUCCAGUGAGGCAUACAGUAUGCACAUAAUAAUAAUACAAAAGGCUCUAUGUUUUUGCUUGCGUUAGUUAUAAUGGCCUGGGGUUCAGACUGAAAAGUUAUUAUAAAUAUCCACAGUUGCAUAAGAUAUCUGUUUAUUAUAUCCUUAUUUAACCCAACUCAAUUCGAGGCGGAUAACAGCUAAUUGUUACCCGAAAACCGCUGAUGGUAACAAUUUUUAACCGGAGGCAUGAACCAAAAUAGUGCAGAUAAAAAAAAACUGAACACUCUGUUUCGGCUGUUCAGUUUGCAAAGGCCCCCAACUUUGUGGAGCACAAACGACACCUUUUGCUGUAGAAAUUCCGAGAAUUUUCUAAACGAAUCGUGCACAAGGCUUCGGGGCACAAUUUAAAAUGGGACAGGAUCCAAUGCAAAUACUAAUAAGUUGUUAAUAUUCCCAAGAUUUUCAACCGGAUUGUCGACGGAAACGACGUCAGAUUGACCGUCAAUAGGGAAUUGCCUAGGGGGGUAGGUGGCUCACCAGGCAGGCAGCAGUCGCCGAGGCAGUUCCUCCCGCAGCCCGCGCGCGGCUUGUCGGCGUCCUCCUGGUAGUUGGAGACGACGGUGGGCACCCUCCUGAUGGUCAGCUUCAUCUCCAUGCCGGUAGGUCGGUCAGUUACUCUCGGGGUGAGAACUCGUCGGGGUCCGGGGGGGUUAGCAGAAGGGACUAAUUGCUAGGAAAGGAAGAAGGUGAGAGACAGGAACGGCUCAGAGGCGACCGCCGCCGGCGAGGAAGAGGAGAUCGGACGGGCUUCCUCCGGCCGAGGGCAGCGCCCCGCGGCCGCCGUGCGGAGCGGGGCUGGACGCGACAGCGGAGGCGAUGGUGCCCGUGGGCUCCACCUGCGCAGCUGCGGGGCCGCGCCGGGGGGCUGCAACGCUAGCCGUGAUGCCUACAACUCGGCCACGCCCAGAGGGGAGGAGGGAGGGCAGCUGUGGCAGGAUUGGGCGGUGGUCACGGAAGCUGCCGAGGCCUGCGCCCCGGGGACGGGGUUCUCCUGUCUUAUAACUCUUCUCCGGCGAGGUGAGGCCAGGCGAGCGGCGGCGGUGCGUUGGGGUUGUGCCUGAGCUGGGUUUGGUUUGGGAAGAACGGAGGAAGCGGGAUGGCAUUAAAUAGGGGGAGGCGAUUGCGGUGGCGGAUUUGUGGUGUGGCUGUGGCUGGCUGGUGCGCUGCUGUGUGGUGGAUCUGGACGGACACGGACGAUACCCGAUUCUCUCUCUCCUCUCUGCGCCACGGUAUUUCUUUUUCUUUUCUUUUUAUUUAUUAUAUACGCAAUACUCGCUGUGUUCAGUUUUUUCUUGUCUCCGGUCGGGUGGUUCACGUUUCCCAUGCUGGGGACCACGAGCACAGAGGCGAAAAUAUAAAUAGAUAUUUAAGUUAUCAUGUUUUUCUUAUCCGCUAAAAUUUUAUUAAAAAUAUAUUCCCCUUCAUAUCCAUUUUAAUAUUAAUAUAUAUAUAUAUGUAUAUUUGUUUUUUGCAGUUUUUUUAUCUAUCAACAUACAAAACAGGUAUCAUAAAUAUAUUAAAAGUUUUCUCUCUAUAACUAGUGAUCAAUUAUUUAAUUUUAUUAUACUAAUUUUGUUGACGUGUGUUCAUAACCACGAAGCAUAAGGUUGUUCGACGUGGCUCGGCAUGUGCACCUCCAGUGAUUUGAGCACCAUAAAACACUCAAACACACGAGCAAUUUAUCCUGUUUCGGUCCUUUGAGCCAUAUAUCUAAUAAUUUUGUGUUUUUUGUGCUAGAAAUGCUCGAUUGAGGGUGUUCUUACAAUCAGAAUGAGCCGAGGGAGAUGUAGAGGAAGUGCUAUGCUAAUUUAGGGCCCAGUCCUCUAUCGUGUUGGUUGAUCUCUUCUACAGGAGUCCAUGUCCUCGAUGUGAUAAGAGGUACAGAGUGAAUGGUUUCUUUUUGUUUGAAAGGAAUUGAGACGCUCAAGAGAGGUGGUGAAUUAGGACUUGAAAGUUAAAAAAUAAAUGUAGGGAUGUAAACUCUCGUGUACAACGCUGGUAUUUUUACCGAGGUAUUCGGAACCACGCAAGGUCUUAACUAAUCCUCGUUAAUGUCCCUACGCAAAGGGUAACCCACGUGAGGGCCAAGCACCACGGACGAGUAAGUUCAUAGAGAGCCACGUGUCUUCUCCGCGCGCAAGUGGUGCUUCGCUUCCGACUCCUCUCGGACGCUCCACGUCGUCUUCACUAUCGAGCUUUCGGGAUAAACGUUGCGGCCUCAUUCCCUCUGGUACACGGUGGCGGACGUAUCACAAACACGGUUGAUACAGUCUCGCAAGACUCUCACCCCACUCAGUACAAUAUUACAACGGCUCGCGCAAGAGCCGAGGAGUUUGUGGGUUGUCUAAUCUCACUCACACAACUAGGAACAAAUAUAGAGCAAGCGCUAAUACAGUUUAACGAACCUAAGCACUUCGCAAAGCACCUACAUUAAUCACCGAGUGAUUCUAUUAAACACUUGGGUGUUGGAGCACUUGCAAGUGUGUAUGGACUUCCUUGAUAUGUUGCUUGGGCUCCCACACCUCCAAAUGGUCGGGUGAUGUGGUAUUUUUAGAGCCUCAACAAAAACUAUCUGUUAGAAAACAAUUCUAGAUCUUUAUGCGGCGCACCGGACAGAUGCACGGACUGUCCAGUGGUGCACCGGUCAAGCCACGUGUACUAGCCCUUAGAGGUAGUUAUUGGAGCUUCUAAAUGUGGCGCACCGGACCAUCCAGACUUGGUGCAUCAAACUGUCCGGUGAGCCACUAGUGCCCCACCAGUACGCUAGCUGACAACCCUUCUCUUAACUCUUCUAACUUCUCGAUCAUAGAUCAACGAUCGAGAUUAGAUCUGAGCGCGAGCGCGAGCGCGUGGGAGGCGCGAGCGAGCGCUGACAAGCGAGCCAGGGAGGUUAGCGACUGGGGAGGGAAGGCGGGCUGACCAGUCAAGCCCAAGGGAAGGGGCACUUAGAACCUUUGACUAAAUCAAAUUUCAGGAUUAAAUUUAAAUUUGUUGACCGUGACACACAACCAAAAUUAAUGUGACAAAGACGUAAAUGCCAAAUAUACGACUCGUUCAAAAUAGCAUUGUUCACAGACUUAUUACACACAUCAUGCAAAGAUAAGCGUAACAAGCUUCCACUGUCAUAGCAUUUUCCAACAAAUGUCCCAUACUUUGACAGUAUACAUUUAUUAGAUUCAAACACAAGUUUAUAGUCAUCUCGACAUAGAAGUGAGCCACUAACAAUAUUCUUUUUGAUGAAGGGGACAUGUUGCACGUUCUUCAUUAGCACUGUCUUUCCCGAAGUAAACUUCAGAAUGACUGUACUGUAACACCCUGAAUUUGGGGGUAUAAAAUUUCUUUCCUAAUAUCCACCAAAUUCAGGUGUUACUCUCUCAUUUCUGUGCUUUCCUUCUCUUUUUCCUAAAAAUGGAGAAAUUAUUUUUGUUUUAUAUAUCUAUAAGCCUAGUAAAAUGAAACCAUAAAAAGAAUCCUUGAUUGUUGCAUAUCAUGUCGAGACCUUUUUAUGUCGAAUUGUUGUGUUUGUGCAUCAAUUCAAACUCAUUACAUAUAAUUGAAUCUUUGAUUCAAAAACUAUAUUUAAAUUUGAAUAGGAAUAAAAAGGAAGAGAAAAAUAAUAAAAAGGAAAAGCCUCCCCCCAACCCCUCUCGUCCAGCCCAGCUUGCCCUCCCUGUGGCCCAGCAAGCCCCUUUCCCCCCAGCCCAUUGUCGCGCGCGAACCCACCUGGCCCACCUGGUGCGGCGCGCCCCUCCCCCAAACCCUAGCCUCAUGGAACUCUGCCCCAGCCGCCACCUAGCGCCCCCACUCCCCCUCGGCCCACCUCGCAGUCUACCCCGCGUGGCCCGCCCCGGCCAUCAUCCCUGCGCGUCCGUGACCCUAUUCAUCUUCUCCCAACCGCCCCUCACCCACGACGUCGUCACCUGCGCCCACAUCGCCCCAAAAACCAGCAUGCGCACUCCUCUCUCCCUCGCACCCGCACAGAUACUCGCCCAAACCAUCGGAGCUCGCCGGCCUCGCUGCAUCUGCACCCUGCCCUCGUGCGAUCGUCAAGGUGAGCAUUCCCCCUUCUCCUCUUCCCUCUCCUCCCUUCCCUGCUCCGCUUCCCCCCCCCUUUUUCUUCCUCGGCACGCAACAGCUCGACACAGGCGCGCAGAUACCCGGCCCCCGUGCGAGCUCGCAGCACGGCGGCCAGCGAGUGGCGCUUGCUUGGCUUGGCUUGGCUAGAGCAUGGCAUGGUGCCCGGCAGAGCGGCCUGCGCGGCGUGGCCAGCUCGGCUCAUGGUGUGGCCAGCGCGGCCCGCUCGGCCCACGGCGUGGCCAGCGCUGGGCGUGCGCCCUGCAGGGCCCUCGGCGCGGCGCGUGGUGCGACGGGCGUUCAACGAGACUUUGGUGCAUAGCCCGCUUGGCAGUCCAUGCACGACCGCUGCGCGCAGCGUGCCCCGGUGCAGUCCGUGCGGCAUGCGCGGCUCCCGUCCCCAAUCGUGUCGGUCCGUCCCUGCGCGUGCAAUGCCUGUCGCAUUUGCAUCCCACUGCCCAUGGCAUCAUCAUUCGUUGCGCGUCGAGACUCCGACGACGCUUGCCUAGCCCCUCGACUACCCCUAGACGUAGCAGUCCACCUCUAUCUACCCUCGUCUACCCUCCUUAUGCACACGUCUACUAGCUCCCGCACCGUCGCUCAUGUGAAUCGCUAUGUGCGCGCUUGAGUAAAACCAUUUCGUCGUAUCGUUUAGGUUAAUUAAUCGAUUAAUUGCUUAGUUGUCUGUCAUUAAAUUAACUACUCGAUCGAUCAAAUUUAUGAUUUUAAUUAUGCGAUUUGUAAAUACGUGGUAAUGUGAUUUUAACAACUUAGAUGUUGUAUUUAAUAUCUAUUUAGUGUUUAGUAUAAAAACAAUAUUUAGUUAGUGAUUCUCGCGUGCGCGCGUCACGCGUCGCUCACGCAUGUCGUGCCUCUAAAUGUUAAUUCUAUUGAUGCAUGCGAUAAAUACCUCUAACUGUGGUUAUGCCAACUUAAAUGUUGCAUUUAAUAUGUGUAGUAUAAAUACGACACAAUUUAGUAGUAUUUCACGUGUCACGCUAUUUUUGCGAGUCGUACGCCAUUUGCACGUCGCUGUUGUUCGUUCGCGCCGCGCGUCUGGUGCACGUGUUGUUGCGCGCACUGUUCUCACGUGUGGCGCUUGUUGUCUUCAUGUCGCAUAUUUUAGUUGAAUAAUUAAUUAUUGGUUUGUUCGAGGGUUAAUAAAAUAACAAUUUAAUUAGAACGAGUUUAUAGUUUUAACUCGUGCUUUUAUAAAUAAAAAUGUUAAUUAGCUUGAUUACUAUCAGCUUAAAUACUUUUAAUUAAUUAAUUGUUUGUUAUUGUUCGUGCACGGCAUCGUUUGCGCGUCAUCGUGUUGUUCGCGAGUGUAGUCGCGUUGGCUCGCGCGUGUCGCGCACCAUCGUGCGCAUUGUUUCGCGUGCCUUCCGCGUGCUGUUUCGUACAGUGUCGUGUGCGUGCGUCGCGUGUGUCAUGUACACGUGUCGCUUGCCUUGCCGCGCGUCGUUAGCGUGAAUCUCGCGUGUCGAUCACGUGUGUCGCGUGGCGUCUGCACGUGAUAAUAAAUUGUUUUCACUUGUAAAGACUCAUGUUAAUAACGUUGAUUCGUCAGAUCACAUAUUUUAGAUAAUUGACUUAAGGUUCGCUCGACUAAUAUUUAUUAGAUUAAUAUUCUAACUGGAUUAAAUAUGUAGUGUUCCACUUGAGCUUUUAUAAUAGAUAUUAAAAUGUCAAAUAUUAACUUAACUGUUUUUUAUUUAUUUAAGAUUUGUUUAGUAUAAAUGUGUCCCAUGUUUAGUUUUUUUCACAUAUCGCGCGAGCUGUUCCGCAUGUGGUUGCGUGCUGGUUCGUGCAUCGUUCGCACUGGUCGCGCACACUAUUUCGUGUGUUGUCAGCAUGCUAUGUCGUACGUGUCUGCGCGUUGUUUCGCACGCUGUCAUGUUGUUUCUUGUGUCGUAAAUUCGCCUCGCUUAGAAUCUCUCGCUUUAAUUAAAUUACUGGUUGAACUGAUACUUGUUAGUCUAACAGGUUAAGCGAAACUAAAUGGUAGAUAUUAUUUAUAUUUGAUAAUAUCGAAUUAAAUGUUAUAGUUAAUAUUUUUUUAAUGUAAACGCGAUAACUUGUCGACUGUAGCUCCGACUAUCGCAUUUCUUAUCCUCGCAUAACUGUAGAAGCGCUCUCUAUUUUAUAUUGCUCGUUUUUAUAAUAUUUUAUCUUGUAUGGUGUAAUGUCCUUAUGCAUGUAUAUAUUUGUUUGCAUGUGCCUGUUUGUAUUCGCAGUGCGUCGUGAAUAGAUUGUGAUCCUUUUCUGAGCUUCGAGGGAUCGAAGAUCAAGCGUUGGCGACUAAGUGAUAUAGCUCUUCGAGUUCUACAAGGUUGAAGACCCUGAGCAUCUGUUGGUGAAGGCAAGUGUCCUCUGACCCAUUAUAUUCCAUUCAAUUUUAAUUCACUGUCCCGCAUUACCUAAUUGAAACCUAAGGAUUGACUAGCUUUGUAUCUACCCUAUCCUUGAUUACCUUUUGGGUUAUUGUGGUUAGCUUCAUGCUAUUACUUUACUUCAAUCAAUGAACAUGAUGUGAACAUUUAUGAUACGAUAUUGUCACACUCGGUUUUGGAAGGCAAACCGAAUGCGAACCAUGUACGUGACAGGAUCAGAAACUCACGUACACAACGAUUACAUAAUUGGACAUCAUCACACAAUGCUCGAAAUAAAUAGUGGAAAUAUACUUUAUUACAUCAAGAUGUCCAAGACAUCCACAGAGUCUAAUACAUAACCAUUGUUCAACAUAAUUAUUAAAGUGCAGAAUUACAAAACGUAGAUGCUAAGCCUACACAGGCAGCUGACUGGGGGUUUGCCACUAAGAAAGAACUAGAACUCGUCGUAGUCCUGAAACUCCUCGAAAUCUUCCAUGUUGCCAGCAUCACCUCCUGAGCAUUGGGCACACUAGGGACAACCUAGGGUGGGGACGUGGGGUGGUGUGUAAAGCAAGGGUGAGUACACAUCAACGUACUCAGCAAAUGUCCCGUUUGGCUAAAGUGGACUAGCUGUAUAUGGAGUUGAGGUCAAGCAGUUGCUUUUAGUUGGUCAAAUAUUUAUUAUCAUUAGUAGAGCCAAGUUUUAGUAAUAAACCCGGUUAUUACCCAGAAGUACCUCCUCAAAAGAGGAAAUACCAAAGAUUAGAUUUUAUAACAUCAUUGUUAAUCAUCAACAUAAAAGUAUCCCAAGUUCUUCUAAUCAAAGAGGAUCCCAAGGCUGCUCUUAACCGUGAGCUCGGCUGAUAUACCAGUUUUUAACACUCUGUAGAGGUUGUACACUUUACCCACAAGUCGUGAUCUCUUUCCAGCCUAGGUUGUACAGACCCGAUCUUCACUACCAAGGUGAAUGGCCAAGGAUACACUACGUAGCCUUUACAAAGACUCCCCUGGUGCAUAGCUGCUUGUUAGGUUUCGCUAGUCGUACAAACGCAGUAUACCUCCCCAAGGUGGGUGACUAACAAAACCAAAUCGUAAGAACCUCUGCACCCCAACCUUGGCAGAGCGAGCACUACGCUCUGGCCCCCAUUGACGGCCAUCCGGCAAAGCCAACUACACCCCCAGGUUCAUCUAAUUAAUCAACUAAGGGUGUCUCAUUCCACCCUCAUGGUUGUACUGUUAUCUCGGGUGGUCAGUCCACGAACAGGUCCUUACGGAGAGGUACUCAGGAAAAAGGCCUGAGCCCCCUAAGGUAUCACAAGAUCAUCCACAAUAUCAGGAUAACAGUAUCGUAUCAUAAAUGUUCACAUCAUGUUCAUUGAUUAAGUUAAGGCAAUAGCAACAUGGUAACCCAAAAGGUAAACAAGGAUAAGGUAAAUACAGACUAGUCAAUCCUUAGGUUUCAUAAAGUAAUGCGGGACAGUGAAUCAUAAAGUAUGUAGGACAUAAUAGGUCAGAGGACACUUGCCUUCACCAGGUGAUUGCUCAGGGAGGUCUCCAACAACACACUCAGGAACCUCGGACUGCUCGUUGUCUAAAUAAAGCGAGCAUGCAUUCAAUACAUUUGGAAAGUACAAAUGAACAUCACACCAAAAAUGUACAAACAUUGGAACACAUCUUAAAAAUACAUAAUACUACAUAAGGGAUAAUGAAUUCAAAGUAUAACAUAAACUAUAACCUACAUUAACUUUGUUUGAAAAUAUAUUACUAUUUCUCCUAAGUGUUAUUUACAAGUACAUAAUCAUAGAUCAAUUUUUUUAUUGUGACCUAUAAUUUAGAACAGAUAUGAACUCAUGCAAUACCUAUCAUUAAUUUCAUAAGCUUAAACAGGUUUAAAUCUCUAAAGUUCUCCUUUAUUUAUUUAUUUAUUAAAUAAAUAAAACAUACACCUACAUUAGUUCAUAUUCAAUCCUAAAAAUUAGAGUGUGCAGACAGUAAGUGAAACCAUUUUAUUUAAACAGAGAAUAAUUCUAUGAACAUUUUGCAAUUUGAACCACUAAAUUUGGAGUUCAUAUGCAAAAGUUAUGAAAUAAACAAGUUUGGGAAUUCAAAAUAUGAAAUUAGGGCUAAUUCUGUGAAUAUUUAAAAGUCCAGGGCUAAAUCUGCAAGAUUACAGGGGUCUGCGCGCGAAAACCAGGGACGGCGGGUUGAUUUCCUAAAACUAGGGGGUUUCUUAAGAAAAACAGCCACGCGAAGGGGUAUCAGGUGAAUCUAACCGUUGGAUCAGAAACCGACGGCCGAGAUUAGAUCUGCGGCCGAGGGCACGCGCGCGGGCGGGUGAGCGCUGACAGGCGGGACAGGGAGUGUCAGCGACAGAGAGGGAGAGCGCGCUGACCGAGCGGGCCCAGUGCUAGAGAAGAAACAGACGGCUACAGGGGUCUGAGGGGGUCCGAGCUGUUCGAUCACGAUCGGACGGGGAGGGGUCCGAAGUGGUCCAAGGGGGUCCGAACCGUUCGAUCAAGAUCGGACGGGAGAAAUCAUACCGGGAAGGAUGAGUGGCUGCGGGUGGCGCUAACAGGCAGGCCAGGGUGUCAGACGCGCGUGCGCGAAGCGGUAUCCCGCGGUCCGGACCGUUCGAUCUGAAUCAGACAGAGGGGAUCAGACUGGGGAAACAGACGGCUGCAGGAGGCGUCGCUCCUCUCCGCUGUGGUGAGGUCGUCGGAGUUGGCCAGAGGGGAAGAGGGUGCCACGGCGAACUCGAUGGCGGGGAAAGGACCAUGAAUCCAUGGGCAGAGAAGGGAGAACGACGGUGAGAAGGUCUCGGGCGGGCCGGAGAAACUCCGGUGAGCGAUUCCGGUCAUGGGGGAGGGGGCUUAAGGCGCGCUAAGGCCUGGGCUAACUUCAGUAGAGGCAGGGGUGACACAGGGACCUACUCCGGUGAACCAGACCGGGCUAAAUCGGCCGGCCACCGCGUGAGCACGGCAGACCGUCGCGACCGAGCACCGACGAAGGCGAAAUUGGACGAAUACAGGGCGCAAUACGGGAAAUUGGGCACAGGGACGGAUGUCUCACCUCGGGGCGGAGCUCGGGGAGGCUUGGCGCGGUCUCCGGUGAGCUGGAUGGCCAGGAACACGAGCGCGGGUCUCCGACGGCGGCUGGCGGUGAGGGCAGAGCGCGAGAGGGGGUGAAGCCGAGCGAAAUGAGGUGAGGGGUGUGUGUGGGGCGCUGGCGGGGCUCUAAAAAGGGAGCUGGGCGCGUGGGCGGGCGUCGUGGCCGAGAAAUCCGGCGACGUGCGCGAGUGCGCACGCCCCGGUCCACGGCGAGAACGGGGAAGGCAGAACUGACAAGGCAGGCCCACAACGCAGAGAGAGAGAGAGGACAAGGGCGUGUGGGCAACGGCUUGACGACUGGCAAUCCGGGUCCGCGAGACAGAGAGAAAAAGAGAGCGCGCGGGCGAAGGAAAACUGGCGCCGACCGAUCGGCCCCACUGAGCAGAGAGCGAGAGAGGGAGGGCGCGCGCGAGGGAGAACCACCGUCCGCCUGUCAGGUGGCGCGGGCGCGCGACCUGGCUGGGCUUACUGGGCUGGUUUGGGCUGCUUUCUCCUUUUCUUUUUCUCUAGAUUUUCUAAUUCCUUUUCUAUUUCUUUUUCUAUAGGGUUUUCAAUUCCAAAUUCAAAUUAGGUUUCACAUUCAAAUAAAUUCAAACUUGUGCAACACUUCAAAGAAUAUUUAAACUCAGCAUGAUGCAACAUGUCAUGACUCAUAAGGUUUUGGCAAAAAUAAGUAAUUAACCUCCACUAGUUUAGGCUAUCUCUAAUCAAAAAGGAAAAAGAGAGAAAGAAAGCCUAGAGUGAGAAAGAAAGCCUAGAGUGAGAAAGGGAAGAGUAACACAUGAUUUUGGGUGAUAAUUAGAAAGAAAUUUUAUACCCCCAAAAUCAGGGUGUUACAGAUACUGUUAUUAUUAUUAUGAUGAUGAUCUUGUGAUACUUUAGGCGACUCAGGCCAUUUUCCUGAGUACCUCUCCGUAAGGACCUGUUCGGGGAGUGACAACCCGGGAUAACAGUGCCGCCAUGAGGGUGGAAUGGAACGCCCUUAGCUGAUUAAUUAGAUGAACCUGGGGUGUAGUUGGCUUUGCUGGAAGGCCAUCAAUGGGGGCCGGGGCGUGGUGUUCGCUCUGCCAAGGGGGCUGUAGAGGUUCAUUCGAUUUGGUUUUGUUAGUCACCCACCUUGGGGAGGUGUACUACGUUUGUACAACUGGCGAAACCUAAUGAGCAGCUAUGCACCAGGGGAGUCUUUGUAAAGGCUACAUAGUGAUACCCUGCCAGGCCACCUAGGUAGUGGUCAAUGGGGAGUAGCUCUCCCCGGGCAGAAAGGGAAUCACGACUCAUGGGUAAAAUGUGCGACCUCUGCAGAGGAUUAAAACUGAUAUAUCAGCCGUGCUCACGGUUAUAAGCGGCCUUGGGAUUCUCUUUGAUUAGAGAUACAGAUGGUUCGAGAUGCAAUGGUUCUAUUGAUGGUUUUGGUUACGAUGAUGAUAAUGAUGUUCCUCGAUGAGGAAAUGAUUCACAGGUUGGUUAUUGCUAAAACUUGGCUUCCACUAAUAAUAAAUAUCUGACCAACUAAAAGCAAGUGCUUGAGCUUAACCCCACAUAAAGCUAGUCCACCUUAGCCAAACGGGACAUUUGCUGAGUACGUUGAUGUGUACUCACCCUUGCUUUUACAAAACGCCAGGUUGCCUUUGGUGCAAUCUAUGCUCAGGUAAUGAAGAAGGCGUCGAGGCGGAUCUCUAGGAGUUCCAGGACUUCGGCGAGUUUGAGGAUUAGGCUAGCGACCUCUGAGAGCACCUAGAGGGGGGAUGAAUAGGUGAUCCUGUAAAAAUCAAACACUAAUAGCCACAAAACUUAGUUAUGAGUGUUAGUACAGCUAAGUAGCUUGAAGCGAGUUCUUGUGAACACAAACAAUCACAGAGAGAUCAACACAAGACACGCGAUUUUUAUCCCAUGGUUCGGCCAAGUAGCACUUGCCUACUUCCACAUUGUGGCGUCCCAAUGGACGAAGGUUGCACUCAACCCCUUUUAAGUGAUCCGAUGAUCAACUUGAAUACCACAGUAUUUUCCUUAGAGUAUUUUCCCGUUUGAGAGGAAUCUCCACAACUUGGAGUCUCUCGCCCUUACAAUAGAGAUCACAAAGAAAGCAUAGAGUAAGGUUGGGAAGAGAAACACACACAAGACUCAAAUAUGCAGCACACCCACACACACAAGUGAAGACUCGAGCUCAGAUGACAACACAGGUAGUUUGUGACUCGAAUGGAGCUCAAAUCUCUAACACAACAAAGCGAAUGCGCAAGAGCAGAGUGUAGAUGCCUUAGAAUACUUAGGGCGUGUUUGCCGCCAUGGCCCAGCAGCCUGGCUGCGCUCCUGGGCUGCAGCUCCCGUGUUUGCGUCGCCUGGCUUGCUCGGGAGCCAGGCUGUGCGCGUGCAAAUUUAGCCUCUCAACCUGGCUCCACAGAAACGAGCUCAAGGUUCGUUUCCUGGGAGCCUGGCUGCUCGUGGCGCAAGGAUUCCGCGUUUAGGUAGUUUUGGUCUUCUAGCCCGGCUACAUAUUGGGUGACAAACACCAGCUCGUCUGAGCCAGGCUCAUAUGGUACAAGUGCGCAAACAAAGUGAGUUGCAGUAGCCGGGACAGGCUAGUAUCAGCUUGGACCAGUUGAACGGGCCGAGCUGGCCAGGGACAGGGUCACAAACACGCCCUUAGUGAAUGCUUGGGUAUCUCCUCCAUGCGCCUAGGGGUCCCUUUUAUAGGCCCAAGGCAGCUAGGAGCCGUUGGAGACAAACUUGGAAGGCCAUCCUUGCCUUCUGUCGUGUGGUGCACUGGACAGUCCGGUGCAUCACCGGACAGCUACUGUUCAUGUCUGGUGCACGAUUCUUUCCAUACGGAGAACAGUCGACCGUUGCAGCUUCGGGCCCGUUGGCGCACCGGACACUGUCCGGUGCACACCGGACAGAACGGUGCCCUCUGCCGACUAUUGGCGUGACCACGUGUCGCGCGAAGAUUGCGCGGCCGAUCGUUGGUGCUGGCGACCGUUGGCUCACUGGACAGUCCGGUGAAUUAUAGCCAUGUCGCCCCUUUGCUUUCCCCGAGGGCAACGAGUUCGCCACGGAUGACUCACCGGACAGUCCGGUGCUCCACCGGACGGUCCGGUGAAUUAUAGCCGUAUGCCGCCGUCGAUUCCCGAGAGCAGCACUUUCACCGGAGACCAGCCUGGCGCACCAGACACUGUCCGGUGCACCACCGGACAGUCCGGUGUGCCAGACUGAGCUGAAUUUGGCUGUACCGAGCCAAGUCUUUUCGGUUUCUUUUCUUGCUGUUUCUAGCACUUAGAUAACCUCAUCAGUAUUAAAAAACAAAUGUACUAAGUCUAGAAACAUACCUUGUUAUAUGAUUUUCACUUCUUGCUUGUUUGGCACAUAGCAACUCACUUACUAUGUGUUGGACACUUAAUCACCAAGACAUUAUAGAAAUGGCCCAAGGGCACAUUUCCCUUUCAAUCUCCCCCUUUUUGGUGAUUUAUGCCAACACAUCAAAAAGCAACCAAAAUAAGUGCAACAUUAAUGCAAAUGAGGACCAAAUCGUUUUUGACUAUUAUUUGGCAUAUUUGGAUCAUUCUUUGCCACCACUUGGUUUGUUUUUGCAAAUCAAAUUCAUUUUCCUAUCUCUAAGUCGAACUCACUUGUUUGGGCAAAUCAAGAGAUGUUCCAAGAGAAAAAUUGAUGAAGUACCAAAAACUCCCCCUUUUCCCAUGAUAAAAAAUUCUCCCCCACAAGAGACCAAAUUUUGCAAUAAGAGCAUUUUGGACAAAAUCAAAAAGUUCUAACUCUAUUGUUUUCAAAAUUCACAAGUGGUAGCUGAUCCAUUUGCUUUGGCCUUAAUUUCUCCCCCUUUGGCAUUAAGCACCAAAACAGAAUCAUUCUUGGCCCUUGUCGGGGACCAUAAUUAGGGGUACCCCCAAGACUCCUAAACUCGGCUGGUAAUCACCAUCAUCACAAGCUGCAAAAGCCUGAUGGGCGCAAUUUAGGUCAAGGCUCCGUCCACGUAAGGGACACGAUCUCGCCUCGCCUGAGCCCAGCCUCAGGCAGGAACAGUAGACCCAGGCAGAUUCACGCCUCGCCCGAGGGCCUCCUCAAGCAACGGGCGCACCUUUGACUCGCCCGAGGCCCAGCCCGGGCAAGCUUCACAGUGAAGCAACCUUGGCCAGAUCGCCUCGCCAACCGACCGUAUCGCAGGAGCAUUCAAUGCAAGGAUCGCCUGCCACCUUAUCCGGACGCGCGUUCCUCAGUCGGCAGGGCCGAAGUGACCGCAGUCACUUUGCCCCUCCACUAACUGACCUGACAGGAAAACAGCGCCGCCUGCCCUGCUCCAACUGCUGUGCCACUCGCCAGGGUGAGGCUAACAGCAGCCGAGUCCAGCCUUACGCGCCAUAGGAAGCUCCGCCUCGCCGACCCCGGGGCUCGGCCCCCGCCUCGACCUCGGAAGAUGGUCUCUGCCUCGCCCGACCCCAGGGCUCGGCCUCAACCUCGACCUCGGAAGACGGUCUCCGCCUCGCCCGACCCAGGGCUCGGCCUCAACCUCGACCUUGGAAGACGGUCUCCGCCUCGCCCGACCCCAGGGCUCGGCAUCAACCUCGACCUCGGAGGAGUCUCCGCCUCGCCCAACCUUGGGCUCAGACCGACCAUGCCACAGGGGGGUACAUCAUUACCCUACCCCUAGCUAGCUCAGGCUACGGGGAACAAGACCGGCGUCCCAUCUGGCUCGCCCCGGUAAACAAGUAAUGAUGGCACCCCGCAUGCUCCCAUGACAACGGUGGUUCUCAGCCCCCUACGGAAGCAAGGAGACGUCAGCAAGGUCCCGACAGCCCCGACAGCUGUGCUUCUACAGGGCUCAAGCGUUCCUCCGACGGCCACGACAUCGCAUGCACAGGGCUCUAGCACCUCUCCGACAGCCACGUCGGCAUGUACAUAGGGCUCUGGCUCCUCUCUGCCGGACACGUUAGCACAUUGCUACACCCCCCAUUGUACACCUGGACCCUCUCCUUACAUCUAUAAAAGGAAGGUCCAGGGCCCUCGUACAAAGGAGGUGGCCGCGCGGGAGGACGGGCUGAUGGACAGGCUCUCCCCCUCGCGAACGCUUGUAACCCCCUACUGCAAGCGCAUCCGCCCUGGGCGCAGGAUAACACGAGCCACGGUUCUCUUUUCCCCCUUGUGUUCCAUCUCUCGCCGACCCAUCUGGGCUGGGACAUGCAGCGACAAUUUACUCGUCGGUCCAGGGACCCCCCGGGGUCGAAAUGCCGAUAGUUGGCGCGCUAGGUAGGGGCCUGCUGCGUGUUGACGAACAGCUUCCCGUCAAGCUCCAGAUGGGUAGUCUCUAGCAACCUAUCCAACCCGGGACACUGCUCCGUUUCGGGAGUCUCGAGUUCAUGUCCCUCGAUGGCAGCUAUGACAUGGUACUCCUUCUUCCGCCGCGCGACAACGACGACCGUCAGCCUGCCCGGCGGCGGCGGAAUCGAUGAUGUCUUCCCCCCAUGGCGGAAGAACAACAUCCGGGUUUGUCUCGUCGCCUUCCUCACCACAGGAGAAGGAGGCGGGGCAACCAUGGCCAAGCAGGAGGCGGCACCUCGUCGGCUGUUGAGCGAGUCGGCGACACCGGUGCCCCAGCGGGGGACACGUCGGGCAUUGACCUCGCGUCUGAGACGAAGACGGGCGCCGUUUCCCCGCAACACGCCAACCCCAAGCGGACGGAUGACGCCAGCACCCUCGCGGAGGACUUGCUGGGUGUUAGCCUUGUACCUGAGAUAACGGUGCAGUCCGUCCCCUACGCGACUUCGUCACCGUCCGUCGAUCAAGAGGUACCGUUCGUUUUCCGCCCUGUGCCUUUUAGAUUCAGCUUCGACCCGCCAAGCGAUCCCGCUUCGGUGGGUGCUUUCAUAAAGGCAUAUCCUAACCUUCCGGGGUAUCAUAUGUGGUCAACCUAGGACCGACUGAUGGCCGUCUCGACCUACGGGCCUCCAGGUUCCGAGGAAGACGACGAGCCCGACUCUGGUUGGGAUUUCUCCGGGCUUGGUAAUCCUAGCGCCAUGCGAGACUUCAUGACCGCAUGUGACUACUGCCUCUCUGAUUGCUCCGAUGAUGGCCACAGCCUUGACGACGAAGGUUGUGGCCCAAGUCGUGAAUGUUUCCACGUCGAUGUAGGGGGUCUCGACGAAGGCAACCACCUUGGUAUGCUGGAGGACGAUGAUCCCCCUAGGCCUGCGCCUCGCGUUGACAUCCUUUGGGAGCUAGCUGUGGUCCCAGCCCUGCGGGGGGUCAGGACACACAGCUCGAGCAAAUCCGUGAGGUACAGGCCAGGCUCGACGUAUCCAGGGAGAACUACUCCGAGCGAUGCCGGAGCCAUCCACCACCGAGGGGCGGCGUAUCCAGGGAGAACUCAAGAACCUCCUGGAGGAUGCCUCGGUCCGACGGGCCGAAAGCUCUGCCUCUCGAAGGCAAGGGUACCCUCCGGAGCAUCGCGCCGCGACUUCUCGAUUCAUGCGGGAAGCCUCGGUCCACACCGGGCGCACACGGGACGCAACGCCUGUAGCCCCGGGUCGCCUCGGCAACGAGCACCACCGCCGCGACUGUCGGGCCCACCUCGACGAGAAGGUGUGCCGAGGCUACCACCCCAGGCGUGGGGGACGCUACGACAGCGGGGAGGAUCGGAGUCCCUCGCCCGAACCACCCGGUCCGCAAGCUUUCAGCCGGGCCAUACGACGGGCACCGUUCCCGACCCGGUUCCGAACUCCGACUACCAUCACUAAGUACUCGGGGGAAACAAGGCUGGAACUGUGGCUUGCGGACUACCGGCUGGCCUGCCAGCUGGGAGGAACGGACAAUGACAACCUCAUCAUUCGUAACCUCCCCCUGUUCCUCUCCGACGCCGCCCGGGCCUGGUUGGAGCAUCUGCCUCCUGCGUAGAUCUCCAGCUGGGACGACCUGGUCAAAGCCUUCGCCGGAAACUUCCAGAGCACAUACGUGCGCCCUGGGAACUCUUGGGAUCUCCGAGGCUGCCACCAGCAGCCAGGGGAAUCCCAGCGGGACUACAUCCGGUGAUUUUCGAAGCAGCGCACCGAGCUGCCCAACAUCACCGAUUUGGAUGUCAUCGGCGCGUUCCUCGCCGGCACCACUUGCCGCGACCUGGUGAGCAAGCUGGGUCGCAAGACUCCCACCAGGGCGAGUGAGCUGAUGGACAUCGCCACCAAGUUCGCCUCUAGUCAGGAGGCGGUCAAGGCCAUCUUCCGAAAGGACAAGCAGCCUCAGGGGCGCCAGCAGGAAGACGUCCCUGAGGCGUCCGCCCAGCGUGGCACGAAGAAGAAGUCGCUAGCGAAACGCGACGCUGCCGAUGCAGAUCUUGUCGCCGCCGCCGAGCACAGGAGCCCUCGGAAGCCUCCCGGAGGGGCCAACCUGUUCGACAAGAUGCUCAAGGAGUCGUGCCCCUAUCACCAGGGUCCCGUCAAGCACACCCUUGAGGAAUGCGUCAUGCUUCGGCGCUACUUCCAUAAGGCAGGGCCCCCGGCGGAAGGUAGCAGAGGUCGAGACAACGACAAGAAGGAGGGUGACAAGGCAGAAGAGUUCCCCGAAGUCCACGACUGUUUCAUGAUUUAUGGUGGGCAAGUGGCGAACGCCUCGGCUCGGCACCGCAAGCAGGAGCGCCGGGAGGUCUGCUCGGUGAAGGUGGCGGCACCAGUCUACCUGGACUGGUCUGACAAGCCCAUCACCUUUGACCAGGGAGAUCACCCCGACCACGUGCCGAGCCCAGGAAAGUACCCGCUCGUUGUCGACCCCAUCAUCGGCAACGUCAGGCUCACCAAGGUCCUCAUGGACGGAGGCAGCAGCCUCAACAUCAUCUAUGCCGAGACCCUCGGGCUCUUGUGGAUCGAUCUGUCCACGAUCUGGGCUGGUGCGGCGCCCUUUUGCGGGAUCAUCCCCGGGAAGCGCGUCCAACCCCUUGGACAACUCGAUCUGCCCGUCUGCUUCGGGACUAUCUCCAACUUCUGAAAGGAAACCCUAACGUUUGAGGUGGUCGGGUUCCGAGGAACCUACCAUGCGGUGUUGGGGAGGCCAUGCUACGCCAGAUUCAUGGCCGUACCCAACUACACCUACCUCAAGCUCAAGAUGUCGGGCCCUAACGGGGUCAUCACCGUCAGAUCCACAUACCGACACGUGUACGAAUGCGACGUGGAGUGUGUGGAGUACGCUGAGGCCCUCAUCGCCGACCUAGAAAGCCUCUCCAAGGAGGUGCCAGAUGCGAAGCGCCACGCCGGCAACUUCGAGCCAGUAGAGGCGGUUAAGUCCGUCCCUCUCGACCCCAGCAACGACGCCUCCAAGCAAGUCCGGAUCGGCUCCGAGCUCGACCCCAAAUAGGAAGCAGUGCUCGUCGACUUUCUCCGCGCGAACGCUGAAGUAUUUGCGUGGAGUCCCUCGGACAUGCCUGGCAUACAGAGGGAUGUCGCCGAGCACUCGCUGGAUAUCCGAGCUGGAGCCCGACCCGUGAAGCAGCCUCUGCGCCGAUUCGACGAAGAAAAGCGUAGAGCUAUAGGCGAGGAGAUCCACAAGCUGAUGGCUGCAGGGUUCAUCAAAGAGGUAUUCCAUCCCGAAUGGCUAGCCAACCCUGUGCUUGUGAGAAAGAAAGGUGGGAAGUAGAGGAUGUGUGUAGACUACACUGGUCUAAACAAAGCAUGUCCAAAGGUUCCCUACCCUCUGCCUCGCAUCGAUCAAAUCGUGGAUUCCACUGCUGGGUGCGAAACCCUGUCAUUCCUCGAUGCCUACUCAGGUUAUCACCAAAUCAGGAUGAAAGAGUCUGACCAGCGUGCGACCUCUUUCAUCACACCCUUUGGCAUGUACUGCUAUAUUACUAUGCCAUUUGGUUUGAGGAAUGCAGGUGCGACAUACCAAAGGUGCAUGAACCACGUGUUCGGAGAGCACAUCGGCCGAACGGUCGAGGCUUACAUCGAUGACAUCGUAGUCAAGACGAGGAAAGCCUCCGACCUCCUCUCUUACCUUGAAACGACAUUCAAGUGUCUAAGGGCGAAAGGCAUAAAACUCAAUCCCGAGAAGUGUGUCUUCGGAGUCCCCCAAGGCAUGCUCCUGGGGUUCAUCGUCUUCGAGCGGGGCAUCGAGGCCAACCCGGAGAAAAUCACGGCUAUCACCAACAUGGGGCCUAUCAAAGACUUGAAAGGAGUACAGAGGGUCAUGGGAUGUCUUGCGGCUCUGAGCCGCUUCAUCUCGCGCCUUGGCGAAAGAGGCCUACUCCUGUACCGCCUCUUAAGGAAGACCGAGCGCUUCACUUGGACCCCCGAGGCCGAGGAAGCCCUCAGGAACUUAAAGGCGCUCCUUACAAGCGCGCCCAUCUUGGUGCCCCCCGCUGCAGGAGAAGCCCUCUUGAUCUACGUAGCCGCAACCACUCAGGUGGUCAGCGCUGCGAUCGUAGUCGAGAGACGAGAAGAAGGGCAUGCAUUGCCCGUCUAGAGGUCGGUCUACUUCAUCAGUGAAGUGCUAUCCGAGACCAAGAUCCGCUACCCGCAAAUUCAGAAGCUGGUGUACGCAGUAAUUCUGACACGGCGAAAGCUGCGACACUACUUUGAGUCUCAUCCGGUGAUUGUGGUGUCAUCAUUUCCCCUGGGGGAGAUCAUCCAGUGCCGAGAGGCCUCGGGUAAGAUUGCAAAGUGGGCGGUGGAGAUCAUGGGCGAGACAAUCUCGUUCGCUCCUCGGAAGGCCAUCAAGUCCCAAGUCUUGGCGGACUUUGUGGCUGAAUGGAUCAACACCCAGCUUCCAGCAACUCCGAUCCAACCGGAACUCUGGACCAUGUAUUUCAACGGGUCGCUGAUGAAAACAGGAGCGGGUGCGGGCCUGCUCUUCAUCUCACCCCUCGGGAAGCACCUCCGCUACGUGCUGCGCCUCCAUUUCCCGGUGUCAAACAACGUGGCCGAGUACGAGGCUCUGGUUAACGGGUUGCGCAUCGCCAUCGAGCUAGGGGUUCGGCGCCUCGACGCUCAUGGCGACUCGCAGCUUGUCAUCGACCAAGUCAUGAAGAACUUCCACUGCCGCGACCCGAAGAUGGAGGCCUACUGCGACGAGGUUCGGCGCCUAGAAGACAAGUUCUACGGGCUCGAGCUCAACCACGUCGCCCGAUGCUACAACGAGACUAUGGACGAGCUGGCUAAGAUAGCCUCGGGACGGACAACGGUUCCCCCGGACGUCUUCUCCCGAGACCUACAUCAACCCUCCGUCAAGACCGACGACACGCCCGAGCCCGGGGAGGCCUCGGCCCAGCCCGAGGCACCCUCGGUCACCGAGGGUGAGGCACUGCGUGUCGAGGGAGAGCAGGAUGGGGUCACGCCUAAUCGAAACUGGUAGACCCCGUACCUGCAAUAUCUCCACCGAGGAGAGCUACCCCUCGAAAGUCGUUCGUCUUACUGGGUGACAAGAAGGAGCUCUACCACCGCAGCCCCUCAGGCAUCCUCCAGCGAUGCAUAUCCAUCACCGAAGGUCAGGAGCUAUUGCAAGAAAUACACUCGGGGGCUUGCGGUCACCACGCAGCACCUCGAGCCCUUGUUGGGAACGCCUUGCGACAAGGUUUCUACUGGCCAACCGCGGUGGCUGACGCCACUAGGAUUGUACGCACCUGCCAAGGGUGUCAAUUCUACGCAAGGCAGACGCACCUGCCCGCUCAGGCCCUGCAAACAAUACCCAUCACCUGGCCGUUUGCUGUAUGGGGUCUGGACCUCGUCGGUCCCUUGCAGAAGGCACCCGGGGGCUUCACGCUCCUGUUGGUUGCUAUCAACAAAUUCUCCAAGUGGAUCGAGGUCUGACCCCUAAACAGCAUCAGGUCCGAGCAGGCGGUGGCGUUCUUCACCAACAUCAUCCAUCGCUUUGGGGUCUCGAACUCCAUCAUCACCGACAACGGCACCCAGUUCACUGGUAGGAAGUUCCUAGACUUCUGCGAAGACCACCACAUCCGUGUGGACUGGGCCGUCGUAGCUCACCCCAUGACGAAUGGGCAGGUAGAGCGUGCCAACGGCAUGAUUCUGCAGAGACUUAAGCCAAGGAUCUACAACGACCUCAACAAGUUCGGCAAGCGAUGGAUGAAGGAACUACCCUCGGUGGUCUGGAGUUUGAGGACGAUGCCUAGCCGAGCCACGGGCUUCACACCGUUUUUUCUAGUCUAUGGGGCCGAGGCUAUCUUGCCCACAGACUUAGAAUACGGUUCCCCGAGGACAAGGGCGUACGACGACCGAAGCAACCAGACCAGCCGAGAAGACUCGCUGGACCAGCUGGAAGAGGCUCGGGACAUGGCCUUACUACACUCGGCACGGUAUCAGCAGUCUCUGCGACGCUACCACGCCCAAGGGGUUCGGUCCCGAGACCUCCAGGUGGGGGACUUGGUACUUCGGCUGCGACAAGACGCCCAAGGGCGCCACAAGCUCACUCCUCCCUGGGAAGGGUCGUUCAUCAUCGCCAAGAUUUUGAAGCCCGAAACAUACAAGCUGGAAAACAGUCAAGGCGUGGUCUACAACAACGCUUGGAACAUCCGACAGCUACGUCACUUUUACCCUUAAGAUGUUUUCAAGUUGUUCAUAUACCUCGUUCUCUUUACAUACACAAAUAGAGUCUUACCAUCAAGGAAGGGUCAGCCUUGCCUCGGCAAAGCCCGACCCUCCCUCGGGGGCUAGAAGGGGGGAACCCCCUUUGCGUCAAAAUUUUCCUCAGAAAAAGUCUUUCUGCCAGAACAUCUUUCGCGCUUUUCGACUACUUUGAUAGUGGGAUCCUGAAAACGACGGAGUACACGUAAACGGCAAGGCCAACCGAGCCGAGGGACUCCUACGCCUCUGGGAUACGGAUACCUCACUCAUCACCUUCUGCGAUAAGUAACUCACGCUCGGAUAAGCGAUUCCGUUGACCGAACAAGUCUUAACGCUCGAAAACUUUUCUGCCGAAACGAUUUUUCGUGCCUUAUCGACUAUAUCGAUAACAGAAUCCUGCAGACGAGUAAGGGUACACAUAAGCGGCGAGGCCGACCGAGCUGAGGGACUCCUACGCCUCCGGGAUACAGAUACCUCACUCAUCACCUUCCGCGAUAAGUAACUCUCACUCGGAUAAGCGAUUCUGCUACCGACAAACAAGUCCUGAUACUCGAAACAAGAGGAAAAGAAACGCAACUUUAUAACACGACAAUGAUAUGUUUGGGCCUCGGUGGCCGCAAAAAACAUACGCGUACUAUAGACAAACUGUUCCUGCAGGUUCAGGCAUCAACAGGGGGAGCAGCAGCACCCUCGGCAUCGUCUCCACCUUCGGCGGAAUCUAGCCCGGCCUCGGACGGCGACACGAGCAGAGGAUCUCCACCUCGAAGGAAGAUGUCAGCACCGCGCCUGGGCCGUCGCCGCUAGGGUCUCCUCUAGGAACCCGGCCCGGGCAGACGGCUCGACCGGCCACUCCGUAGCCUCAGCCAGCUGUCCCCCGAGGACAUCAGCCCGGCUCAUGGCCUCGGCAGCCUGACUCCGGGGUCGGCCCCGCCGGUGGAUGACCUGGCCAAGUUCCAGCUGCCGCUGCUGCACCUCCUCGGCCAGGGUGGCCACGUGCUCCCGGAUCGACAAAGCUUCUUCUCGAGCCGACUCCGCCUCUGUCCACGCUGACACCGUUGCCUCCGGCUCCGGCUCAUCGCAAGAGCAGCCGAGGGUUCCUUAACUGAACAAGGGAGGCCUUAAGCGGCAAGGCCGACUGAGCCGAGGGACUCCUACGCCUCCGGGAUACGGAUACCUCACUCGUCACCUUCCGCACAGGGCAACUCACACUCGGUUAAGCGGCUCAGCUAGCCGACAGACGAGUCCAAGUGCUCAAAAUGAAGAAGAAACUCGGUAUUACACUAAAAUACCCGGAUGUUCAGGCCUCGACAGUCGCAAUGAACACACACCAGCACUCAAGGUGCCAUUACAAACAGAACUCUGGUUCCACUCUCGCGGGUACGAACAACCCCACAUCGGAGGGCCCGCGGGACGACAAGCUCCGGGUGGCUCGCCGUCGACCACUCCAUCAGCAGCGACAACGACCUCCGCUCCGGGCGGCUAAACAGCAGCAACGAUGACCUCAGGGCAGACGCUGCUGCGACAAGGCCCUCGCUCGCGCCCCCGCUCGAGGGGCGAGGACAAGCUAUCAAAGCUAAAGAGCCGGAGGUCGGUCCGCGGGUGGCGCUGAUGGUCUCGUCGGCGGAGAAACCUUCUCCGGCUGCCACCUGCCCACCGGCAGAUCCCCACUCAAGUCCUCCCGGACGGGCGGGCACCGACCUCCGCGCGGAGGCGUCGUGCCAGAGUGAGGGCAGGACAACCCAAGAACACGAACGCCGCCCUAGCGACGUGCGACGUCUUGGGCGGUCCCCCGGUGCGCGCGGCGCAACAGCCGCCCGUACGGCGGGCAGAUAGCCACACUCCGCCCAGCGGUGGGAGGUGGCACCGGAAGCUGCGCCAGAGCCAGCUGAGCCAGCGAACUAGGCAUGCUGGAGCUGACGACGCUUGCGGCUGAUCGGCCCCGCGUUGUCGAAGUCCGCCCCCUCCGCUAGGCCGGUGAGCGCCCUCUCCCCUGAAUGCUGAAGGAAGAGGUGGCUCGCCGGCCCGUACGGGACGUAGAGCUCCGACUCAGCUCGCCCUCCGCCCCAGCAAGGAUGAUGAAGAUCCUUGAAGCUGAGGGCGGGGCAGAGGCCGCAGCCCGGCUUGCUUCUCCCCACCAUCGAACUGGUGGUCACCGUCUUGGGUGACCAUUGGUGAGGGAAUGCAGCCGGGCUGCCUGAUGAAAAUCCUUGAAGCCGAGCGAUGGCUGAAAGGUGCCAACCUCCACGAGGUUGCGCUCCUCCCACAACGAGACGAAGGCAACACGGGCACUCCCCAUCCGGGGGCUCGGAAGGCGGAAGGAUACAAUGCAUGAGGAGAAGUGCGAAGGCAUGGCUACCACUCGGGGGGUUGAUCCCUUUUUAAAGGUGACUCUCCCCGCUUGUGUCCUCAGGUGUCACGGACUAAGUCUUCACCAACGCGCUCUAGGGUCCUCCCCCUACGACACGGGGGCUGGGUCCCACAUGUCAUGCAAGCUGGCCUAGGACAGAAGCAGCCAAACCGCCGCGCGCGGAGCAUGUAACCGCUUAGCGGUUACAAGCACUCCUCCAUCCUCGCUGAAACCAGCGGGUGGAAGGGCGGACCGCCAUGCAGGCGGCGCGCAACUGCACCACGGGGAUGCACCCUUUCGACUUCGACGCGUCUAGCAUGGAGGCCCAGGCCCACACGUCAUGUAACCGGCGCGCAGGUUGCCACGUGCGAAAAACUGCACCGCCACUUGUGCCAAUACCGCGCUUUCUCGACUGCGGAACCAGUGCCACGACUCGAGGCGACUCUGCGCAUGGCCCAGCAGCGCCAACCAAGCACAUCGGUCACAGGUCAGUCAGCCGCGGGAGAAGGCGCGACGGUCGAUAUGGCCAAAAGUGGGCCGGCAGUAAUGGCGGCAGCAGGCGGGCGGAGGCAGCAGUCAAAUCGUCUGCAGGCUCACGUCCCCUCCUGGAGCACCAGGGGAGCCCUCUCCCACGGCGUGAAGACGACGCGCCCGUGAUCCGUCCCUCGAACGGCUGGCGCAACGGCUGCCCCGCGAACCACCCGUCCCGUCGCAUUAACUUUGCAGCAGGGCAGGCGACACCUUUGGCAGGCGAAGCGGGCGACGCUUCACCUCCGCCAUGAUGACCGCGUCAAGAAAGGUGUGCCACAUCGUUUGAUUUCAUAUCCUUUUCCUCUUCCCCUUUCUCUCUCUUGCUACAGGGACCAGAAAGGGGAUACUUUGAAAGGGAUCCUUCUCCGUGACGGAAGCAGGCCCCGAGCCCCCCUACUGAUCAGGGGUUCGAAGGCUGGCCCCUCGGAAGGGUUCGACAGCGGGCCUAGAGCACUCGGGCUUCAGGCUCAUUACUGAUCAGAGGUUCGAAGGCUGGCCCCUCGGAAGGGUUCGACAGCCUCCUCAGACCACUCGGGCUCCGCGCCCACUACUGAUCAGGGGUUCGUAGGCUGGCCCCUCGAAGGGUUCGACAGCCGCCCCAGAACACGCAGAGCGAGGGAUGACUCUGGGUACGUCCGAUACAUGGCCGAGGCUCGGGCUACGCUCCUGAGGUACCCUAGGACAUUUCCAAGACCAGCAGGAGCGAUUUUGUAACGGAAUCCCAUUGGAGGGAGGCAUCGAGCCCUCGGACCCUAUCAAACGGGACCGGGUCCGGCAAAUCACCUGCAGGUACUUUUUGAGCGUGCCUCUGGGCCACUAGCCGACCCUUAUCGAACGGGGCACGGGCGUCCACUCAGAUCACCCGUUAGCAACUCACUGGAGACACCAUGUUCGGCGCCCUCCGAGGGCAACAUGGCACUUUCCCCGCCUCCUCCUUGCGGAAAGGCGACGAAGGGGUGUAUGAUAAAAGCCGAGUCAGUCCUUGACCAUCCUCUCGCUCUGUGCGGAGGCUCAGGGGCUGCUCUCACAAACCUGGCUCCGGCCAAACCGUUGACAGCGUCAACAUACCAGCCCGAGAACUCGGAACCUGACCAUGCACCCGGGCUACGAUCAGAUCGCAUGAGGGAACAACCAGACCAGCCGAGGCACCACGAAAGGCAUUAAGACCUUGGAGGAGUCAAACCACUCCUCUGAGGCCUCGGGGGCUACACCCGCUGGGUGUGCUCGCGCGCACCCACCGGAACAAAAUGUAACCGAGAAAGGCCGACCCCCUUGCAAAAAAGUGCGACAAAGCCUCCAAGCGAGUACCAACACUCCCUUUGAGGCUCGGGGGCUACUGUCGGGGACCAUAAUUAGGGUUACCCCCAAGACUCCUAAACUCGGCAGGUAAUCACCAUCAGCACAAGCUGCAAAAGCCUGAUGGGCGCAAUUCAGGUCAAGGCUCCGUCCACGUAAGGGACACGAUCUCGCCUCGCUCGAGCCCAGCCUCGGGCAGGAACAGUAGACCCAGGCGGAUUCACGCCUCAUCCGAGGGCCUCCUCAAGCAACGGGCGCACCUUCGACUCGCCCGAGGCCCAGCCCGGGCAAGCUUCGCAGUGAAGCAACCUUGGCCAGAUCGCCUCGCCAACCAACCGUAUCGCAGGAGCAUUCAAUGCAAGGAUCGCCUGACACCUUAUCCUGACGUGCGUUCCUCAGUCGGCAGGGCCGAAGUGACCGCAGUCACUUCGCCCCUCCACUGACUGACCUGACAGGAAAACAGCGACGCCUGCCCUGCUCCGACUGCUGUGCCACUCGCCAGGGUGAGGCUGACAGCAGCCGAGUCCAGCCUCAGGCGCCAUAGGAAGCUCCGCCUCGCCCGACCCCGGGGCUCAGCCCCCGCCUCGACCUCGGAAGACGGUCUCCGCCUCGCCCGACCCCAGGGCUCGGCCUCAACCUCGACCUCGGAAGACGGUCUCCGCCUCGCCCGACCCCAGGGCUCGGCCUCAACCUGGACCUCGGAAGACGGUCUCCACCUCGCCCGACCCUAGCGCUCGUCCUCAACCUCAACCUCGGAGGAGUCUCCGCCUCACCCGACCUUGGGCUCGGACCGACCAUGCCUCAGGGGGGUACAUCAUUACCCUACCCCUAGCUGGCUCAGGCUACGGGGAACAAGACCGGCGUCCCAUCUGGCUCGCCCCGGUAAACAAGUAAUGAUGGCACCCCGCAUGCUCCCAUGACGACGGCUGUUCUCAGCCCCCUACGGAAGCAAGGAGACAUCAGCAAGGUCCCGAUAGCCCCGACAGCUGUGCUUCUACAGGGCUCAAGCGUUCCUCCGACGACCACGACAUCGCAUGCAUAAGGCUCUAGCACCUCUCCGACAGCCACGUCGGCAUGUACAUAGGGCUCUGGCUCCUCUCUACCGGACACGUUAGCACAUUGCUACACCCCCCAUUGUACACCUGGACCCUCUCCUUACAUCUAUAAAAGGAAGGUCCAGGGCCCUCGUACAAAGGAGGUGGCCGCGCGGGAGGACGGGCUGACGGACAGGCUCUCCCCCUCGCGAACGCUUGUAACCCCCUACUGCAAGCGCAUCCGCCCUGGGCGCAGGAUAACACGAGCCGCGGUUCUCUUUCCCCCCUUGUGUUCUAUCUCGCGCCAACCCAUCUGGGCUGGGACAAGCAGCGACAAUUUACUCGUCAGUCUAGGGACCCCCCGGGGUCGAAACGCCGACAACCCAUUAACCCCAUUGCCUCACCAAAAAUGUCAUUUGAGAGCAAAAAGGCAAUGAGAGCAUAAGUAUGAACUUGGAGGUGAGUUCACUAAUACGGGAGUGCAGUGGAAGUCUUUGCAUUGUACAAGUUCACCUUUCCCUUUCAAUGCACUUUUGAGACUACAUCAAGUAUACUCAACCACAAAGGUUAGUCUCAAAGGGUCAAGUUGUAGCACAUCUCCCCCUAAAUAUGUGCACCAUUUGCAUAUGGACUUGUGAGGUCCGGGGAGGUCAUGUACAACUUGAGCACCACAAAUAUACGACGAGUAAUGUAAAUGCUUCAAAGUAACAUGAUCAAAGGCAUAAAACACAUGUAUGCUAUAGAUCAAUCCAAGUUACGCGAAUCUAAGACAUUUAGCUCACUACGCAAUCUGCAAAAAGUUUUCUCAUCCAAUGGCUUGGUAAAGAUAUCGGCUAGCUGGUUCUCAAUGCUAAUAUGGUACACCUCGAUAUCUCCCUUUUGCUGGUGGUCUCUCAGGAAGUCAUGCCGGAUGUCUAUGUGCUUAGUGCGGCUGUGUUCCACAGGAUUAUCCGCCAUGCGGAUUGCACUCUAAUUAUCACAUAGGAGUGGGACUUUGCUCAGAUUGUAGCCAAAGUCCCGAAGGGUUCGCCUCAUCCAAAGUAGUUGCGCGCAACACUGUCCUACGGCAACAUACUCGGCCUUAGUGGUGGAUAGGGCAACAUAUGUUUGUUUCUUGGAACUCCAGGACACCAGGGACCUUCCUAGAAAUUGGCACGUCCCUGAUGUGCUCUUCCUAUCAACCUUGCACCCAGCAUAAUCGGAGUCUGAGUAUCCAAUAAAGUCAAAGGUAGACCCCUUUGGAUACCAGAUCCCAAAGCAAGGCAUAGAAACUAAAUAUCUAAGAAUUCGCUUAAUGGCCACAAGGUGACAUUCCUUGGGGUCAGAUUGAUAUCUAGCACACAUGUAUACACUUAGCAUAAUGUCCGGUCUACUAGCACAUAAAUAAAGCAAGGAACCUAUCAUAGACCGGUAUGCCUUUUGAUCAACGGACUUACCUCCUUUGUUGAGGUCGACAUGCCCGUCGGUUCCCACCGAUGUCUUUGCGGGCUUGGCGUCCUUCAUCCCAAACCUCUUGAGAAGAUCUUGAGUGUACUUCGUUUGGGAGAGGAAUGUGCCGUCCUUGAGUUGCUUCACUUGGAACCCAAGGAAGUAGGUCAACUCACCCAUCAUCGACAUCUCGAACUUCUGUGUCAUCACCCUGCUAAACUCCUCACAAGACUUUUGAUUAGUAGAUCCAAAUAUUAUGUCAUCGACAUAAAUUUGGCACACAAAAAAGAUCACCAUCACAAGUCUUAGUAAAAAGAGUGGGAUCGGCUUUCCCAACCUUGAAAGCAUUAGCAAUUAAGAAAUCUCUAAGGCAUUCAUACCAUGCUCUUGGGGCUUGCUUAAGUCCAUAGAGCGCCAUAGAGAGCUUGAACACAUGGUUGGGGUACCUGUCAUCCUCAAAGCCAGGGGGUUGUUCCACGUAUACCUCCUCCUUGAUUGGCCCGUUGAGGAAAGCGCUCUUUACGUCCAUUUGAAACAACUUGAAAGAGUGGUGAAUGGCAUAGGCUAUUAAUAUUCGAAUAGACUCUAGCCUAGCCACAGGAGCAAAAGUCUCCUUGAAAUCCAAACCUGCGACUUGGGCAUAACCUUUUGCCACAAGUCGAGCCUUGUUUCUUGUCACCACCCCGUGCUCGUCUUGCUUGUUGCGGAACACCCACUUGGUUCCCACAACAUUUUGCUUUGGACGUGGCACCAAGCUCCAAACUUCAUUCCUCUUGAAGUUGUUGAGCUCUUCCUGCAUGGCUAACACCUAGUCCGGAUCCUGCAAGGCCUCUUCUAUCCUGAAAGGCUCAAUAGAAGAGACAAACGAGUAAUGCUCACAAAAGUUAGCUAAUCUUGAGCGAGUAGUUACUCCCUUGCUUAUGUCACCCAGAAUCAGGUUAACGGGAUGAUGUCGUUGAAUUGUUGCUCGGACUUGAGUUGGAGGGACCUGUGGUGCUUCUUCCUCCAUAACUUGUUCUUCUUGUGCUCCCCCUUGAUCAUGCGCCUCUUCUUGAGGAACCUGUCCAUCAUCUUGAGUUGGGGGAUGCACCAUUGUAGAGGAAGAUGGCUGAUCUUGCUCUUGUUGUUCCUGUGGUCGCACAUCACCUAUCGCCAUCGUGUGCAUUGCGGCCGUCGGAACAUCAUCUUCAUCUAUGUCAUCAAGAUCAACUUGCUCUCUUGGAGAGCCAUUAGUCUCAUCAAAUACAACGUCGCUAGAGACUUCAACCAAACCCGAUGAUUUGUUGAAGACUCUAUACGCCUUUGUAUUUGAGUCAUACCCUAGUAAAAACUAGGGAUGUCAACGGAUAAACUAUCCACGUAUAGUGUCUCUAGACAUCCAUAUCCGUGACUUAUAUCCGAUAUCCGAACCCGUACCCGUUACCUGCUAUGAAUAAAGAAUAUUAUCCACAUCCGUUACCCGCGGGUAAUGGAUAUCCACGGAUAUAUCCGUUUGCCCACUACACAUACAACAUAUUUAAAUUCAGCAAAUUCAAAUAUGAUAACAUAUUUGUCUAGCAAAUUUAAAUAUGAUAAAAACACGAUUGGGGAUUUGGGGAGGCUAGACGGUAAGGAGACGGGCGGGCCGCGACGGGACUUGGGCUGGCUGUGGUCCGUGAAGUGGUUCCAAACUCCAGUGACCCCACAUGACAGGUUACUUUAACGGAUAUUCAGGUAUUCGGGUAUGGAUACUGAUUUUCUAUACCCGUUUUAAAAAUAUCCAUGGAUAUCAAAUGCUACCUGAAAGUCGCCUAGAGGGGGGUGAAUAGGGCGAAUCUGAAAUUUACAAACUUAAUCACAACUACAAGCCGGGUUAGCGUUAGAAAUAUAAUCGAGUCCGCGAGAGAGGGUGCAAAACAAAUCGCAAGCGAAUAAAGAGUGUGACACGCGGAUUUGUUUUACCGAGGUUCGGUUCUCGCAAACCUACUCCCCGUUGAGGUGGUCACAAAGACCGGGUCUCUUUCAACCCUUUCCCUCUCUCAAACGGUCCCUCGGACCGAGUGAGCUUCUUCUUCUUAAUCAAACGGGAACAAACUUCCCCGCAAGGGCCACCACACAAUUGGUGCCUCUUGCCUCGGUUACAAUUGAGUUGUUCACAAGAAAGAAUGAAAGAAAGAAGCAAUCCAAGCACAAGAGCUCGAAAGAACACAAGCAAAUCUCUCUCACUUAUCACUAAAGCUUUGUGUGGACUUGGGAGAGGAUUUGAUCACUUGGGUGUGUCUAGAAUUGAAUGCUAGAGCUCUUGUAAGUAGUUGGAAGAUGAAAACUUGGAUGACUUGAAUGUGGGGUGGUUUGGGGUAUUUAUAACCCCAACCACCAAACUAGCCGUUUGGUGGAGGCUGCUGUCGCAUGGCGCACCGGACACUGUCCGGUGCGCCAGCCACGUCACCAGUCGUUGGGUUCCGACCGUUGGAGCUCUGUCUUGUGGGCCCGCCUGGCUGUCCGGUGGUGCACCGGACAAGUCCUAUAGACUGUCCGGUGUGCCACCCGCGCGUGCACUGCUCCUCUGCGCGCGCUGGCGCGCAUUUAAUGUUGUAGCAGGUGACCGUUGGCGCGGAAUAGUCGUUGCUCCGCUGGCUCACCGGACAGUCCGGUGUGCACCGGACAUGUCCGGUGAAUUAUAGCGGAGCGGAUUCCCGAAGCUGGCGAGUUCAGAGUCGCUCUCCUCUGGGGCACUGGACACUGUCCGGUGGUGCACCGGACAGUCCGGUGAAUUAUAGCGGAGCCUCUGAAAAUUCCCGAAGGUGAAGAGUUCAGCUUGGAGUUCCCUGGUGCACCGGACACUUCCGGUGGCACACCGGACAGUCCGGUGCGCCAGACCAGGGCACACUUCGGUUAUCCCUUGCUCUUUUUGUUGAACCCUUUUUCUUUGUCUUUUUAUUGGCUUUUUGUGAACCUUCGACACCUGUAUAACUUAUAGACUAGAGCAAACUAGUUAGUCCAAUUAUUUGUGUUGGGCACUUCAACCACCAAAAUCAUUUAGGAGAUAGGUGUAAGCCUAAUUCCCUUUCAAUCUCCCCCUUUUUGGUGAUUGAUGCCAACACAAACCAAAGCAAGUAUAGAAGUGCAUAAUUGAACUAGUUUGCAUAAUGUAACUGCAAAGGUUACUUUGGAAUUGAGCCAAUAUAGAUACUUAUAAGAUACACAUGCAUUGUUUCUUUAAUUUUAACAUUUUGGACCACGCUUGCACCACUUGUUUUGUUUUUGCAAAUUCUUUUGUAAAUCUUUUUCAAAGUUCUUUUGCAAAUAGUCAAAGGUAAAUGAGUAAGAUUUUGCGAGGCAUUCUCAAGAUUUGAAGUUUUUCUCCCCUUAUUUCAAAUGCUUUUCCUUUGACUAAACAAAACUCCCUCUCAAUGAAAUCCUCCUCUUAGUGUUCAAGAGGGUUUUUAAGAUAUCAAUUUUGAAAAUACUACUUUCUCCCCCUUUUGAACACAAUAAGAUACCAAUUUGAAAUUUACCAAUAGAAAAGUAUUAGUUUUUAAAAUUAGGUGGUGGUGCGGUCCUUUUGCUUUGGGCUAAUACUUUCUCCUCCUUUGGCAUGAAUCACCAAAAACAGAUAUUUUGAGUGAAAUAUAAGCCCUGAUAACUACUUUCUCCCCUUUGGCAAAUAAAAUACGAGUGAAUAUUAUACCAAAAAUGGAGAGUUGCUCGGAGCGACGGCGAAGGAAGAGUUAUGGAGUGGAAGCCUUUGUCUUCGCCGAAGACUCCAAUUCCCUUUCAAUAUACCUAUGACUUGGUUUGAAAUAUACUUGAAAACACAUUAGUCAUGAUAUAUAAAAGAGAUAUGAUCAAAGGUAUAUUUAUGAGCUAUGUAUGCAAGACGUCAAAAGAAAUUCCUAGAAUCAAGAAUAUUUAGCUCAUGCCUAAGUUUGUUAAAAGUUUGUUCAUCUAGUGGCUUGGUAAAGAUAUCGGCUAAUUGAUCUUUAGUAUUAAUAUAUGCAAUCUCGAUAUCUCCCUUUUGUUGGUGAUCCCUUAGAAAAUGAUACCGAAUGGCUAUGUGUUUAGUGCGGCUAUGCUCAACGGGAUUAUCCGCCAUGCGGAUUGCACUCUCAUUAUCACAUAGAAGAGGAACUUUGGUUAAUUUGUAACCAUAGUCCCUAAGGGUUUGCCUCAUCCAAAGUAGUUGCGCGCAACAAUGACCUGCGGCAAUGUACUCGGCUUCGGCGGUAGAAAGAGCUACGGAAUUUUGCUUCUUUGAAGCCCAAGACACCAAGGAUCUUCCCAAGAACUGGCAAGUCCCCGAUGUGCUCUUUCUAUUGAUUUUACACCCCGCCCAAUCGGCAUCCGAAUAACCAAUUAAAUCAAAAGUGGAUCCCCUAGGAUACUAAAGCCCAAACUUAGGAGUAUAAGCCAAAUAUCUCAAGAUUCGUUUUACGGCCGUAAGGUGAGUUUCCUUAGGGUCGGCUUGGAAUCUUGCACACAUGCAUACGGAAAGCAUAAUGUCCAGUCGAGAUGCACAUAAGUAGAGUAAAGAGCCUAUCAUCGACCGAUAUACCUUUUGAUCUACGGAUUUACCUUCCGUGUCGAGGUCGAGAUGCCCAUUGGUUCCCAUGGGUGUUUUGAUGGGCUUGGCAUCCUUCAUUCCAAACUUGCUUAGAAUGUCUUGAGUAUACUUCGUUUGGCUAAUGAAGGUGCCCUCUUGGAGUUGCUUCACUUGAAAUCCCAAGAAGUACUUCAACUCCCCCAUCAUUGACAUCUCGAAUUUUUGUGUCAUGAUCCUACUAAAUUCCUCACAUGUAGAUUCAUUAGUAGACCCAAAUAUAAUAUCAUCAACAUAAAUUUGGCAUACAAACAAAUCAUUGUCAAGAGUUUUAGUAAAUAAAGUAGGAUCGGCUUUUCCGACUUUGAAACCGUUAGUGAUAAGAAAAUCUCUUAGGCAUUCAUACCAUGCUCUUGGGGCUUGCUUGAGCCCAUAAAGCGCCUUAGAGAGUUUAUACACAUGGUUAGGGUACUCACUAUGUUCAAAGCCGGGAGGUUGCUCAACAUAGACCUCUUCCUUGAUCGGUCCAUUUAGGAAGGCACUCUUCACGUCCAUUUGGUAAAGCUUGAAGCCAUGGUAAGUAGCAUAGGCUAAUAAUAUACGAAUUGACCCAAGCCUAGCUACGGGUGCAUAGGUUUCACCGAAAUCCAAACCUUCGACUUGGGAGUAUCCUUUGGCCACAAGUCGGGCUUUGUUCCUUGUCACCACACCAUGCUCAUCUUGCUUGUUGCGGAACACCCACUUGGUUCCUACAACAUUUUGGACGUGGAACCAAAUGCCAUACCUCAUUCCUAGUGAAGUUGUUGAGCUCCUCUUGCAUCGCCAUUACCCAAUCCGAAUCUUGUAGUGCUUCCUCUACCCUGUGUGGCUCAAUAGAGGAAACAAAAGAGUAAUGCUCACAAAAAUGUGCAACACGAGAUCUAGUGGUUACCCCCUUAUGAAUGUCACCGAGGAUGGUGUCGACGGGGUGAUCUCGUUGGAUUGCUUGGUGGACUCUUGGGUGUGGCGGCCUUGGUUCUUCAUCCUCCUUGUCUUGAUCAUUUGCAUCUCCCCCUUGAUUAUUGCCAUCAUCUUGAGGUGGCUCAUCUCUUUGAUCUUCUCCUUCAUCAACUUGAGCCUCAUCCUCAUUUUGAGUUGGUGGAGAUGCUUGCGUGGAGGAGGAUGGUUGAUCUUGUGCAUUUGGAGGCUCUUCGGAUUCCUUAGGACACACAUCCCCAAUGGACAUGUUCCUUAGCGCGAUGCACGGAGCCUCUUCAACACCUAUCUCAUCAAGAUCAACUUGCUCUACUUGAGAGCCAUUAGUCUCAUCAAACACAACGUCACAAGAAACUUCAACUUGUCCAAAGGACUUGUUAAAGACUCUAUAUGCCCUUGUGUUUGAAUCAUAUCCUAGUAAAAAGCCUUCUACAGUCUUAGGAGCAAAUUUAGAUUUUCUACCUCUUUUAACAAGAAUAAAGCAUUUGCUACCAAAGACUCUAAAAUAUGAAAUAUUGGGCUUUUACCGGUUAGGAGUUCAUAUGAUGUCUUCUUGAGGAUUCGGUGUAGAUAUAACUGGUUGAUGGCGUAGCAGGCGGUGUUGACCGCCUCGGCCCAAAAUCGAUCCGAAGUCUUGUACUCAUCAAGCAUGGUUCUUGCCAUGUCCAAUAGAGUUCGAUUCUUCCUCUCCACUACACCAUUUUGUUGUGGGGUGUAGGGAGAAGAGAACUCAUGCUUGAUGCCCUCCUCCUCAAGGAAGCCUUUGAUUUGUGAGUUCUUGAACUCCGUCCCGUUGUCGCUUCUAAUUUUCUUGAUCCUUAAGCCGAACUCAUUUUGAGCCCGUCUCAAGAAUCCUUUUAAGGUCUCUUGGGUGUGAGAUUUUUCCUGCAAAAAGAAUACCCAAGUGAAGCGAGAAUAAUCAUCCACAAUAACUAGACAGUACUUACUCCCGCCGAUGCUUAUGUAAGCUAUCGGGCCGAAUAGAUCCAUGCGUAGGAGCUCCAGUGGCCUGUCAGUCGUCAUGAUGUUCUUGUGUGGAUGAUGAGCACCAACUUGCUUCCCUGCUUGGCAUGCGCUACAAAUCCUGUCUUUCUCAAAAUGAACAUUUGUUAAUCCUAAAAUGUGUUCUCCCUUUACAAGCUUAUGAAGAUUCUUCAUCCCAACAUGGGCUAGUCGGCGGUGCCAGAGCCAACCCAUGUUAGUCUUAGCAAUUAAGCAAGUGUCGAGUUCAGCUCUAUCAAAAUCUACCAAGUAUAGCUGACCCUCUAACACUCCCUUAAAUGCUAUUGAAUCAUCACUUCUUCUAAAGACAGUGACACCUACAUCAGUAAAAAGACAGUUGUAGCCCAUUUGACAUAAUUGAGAAACGGAAAGCAAAUUGUAAUAUAAAGAAUCUACAAGAAAAACAUUGGAAAUGGAAUGAUCAGGUGAUAUAGCAAUUUUACCCAAUCCUUUGACCAAACCUUGAUUUCCAUCCCCGAAUGUGAUAGCUCGUUGGAGAUCUUGGUUUUUCUCAUAGGAGGAGAACAUCUUCUUCUCCCCUGUCAUGUGGUUUGUGCAUCCGCUAUCGAUGAUCCAACUUGAGCCCCCGGAUGCAUAAACCUACAAAACAAGUUUAGUUCUUGACUUUAGGUACCCAAAUGGUUUUGGGUCCUUUGGCAUUAGACACAAGAACUUUGGGUACCCAAACACAAGUCUUUGACCCCUUGUGCUUGCCCCCAACAUACUUGGCAACUACCUUGCCGAAUUUGUUAGUUAACACAUAAGAAGCAUCAAAAGUUUUAAAUGAAAUGCUAUGGUCAUUUGAUGCACUAGGAGUUUUCUUCUUAGGCAACUUAGCACGGGUUGGUUGCCUAGAGCUAGAUGUCUCACCCUUAUACAUAAAAGCAUGGUUAGGGCCAGAGUGAGACUUCCUAGAGUGAAUUCUCCUAAUCUUGCUCUCGGGAUAACCGGCAGGGUACAAAAUGUAACCCUCGUUAUCCUGAGGCAUGGGAGCCUUGCCCUUAACAAAAUUGGACAAUUUCUUAGGAGGAGCAUUAAUUUUGACAUUGCCUCUCUGUUGGAAGCCAAUGCCAUCCUUAAUGCCAGGGCGUCUCCCAUUAUAAAGCAUACUACGAGCAAAUUUAAAUUUUUCAUUUUCAAGUUCAUGCUCGGCAAUUUUAGCAUCUAAUUUUGCUAUAUGAUCAUUUUGUCGCUUAAUUAAUACCAUAUGAUCAUUAAUAGCAUUAAUAUCAACAUCUCUACAUCUAGUGCAAAUAGUGACAUGCUCAGUGGUAGAUGUAGAGGGUUUGCAAGAAUUAAGUUCAACAAUCUUAGCAUGCAAUAUAUCAUUUUUAUCUCUAAGAUCGGAAAUUGUAACAUUGCAAACAUCAAGUUCUUUAGCCUUAGCAAGCAAUUUUUCAUUCUCAAUCCUAAGGCUAGCAAGAGAAAUGUUUAAUUCUUCAAUCUUAGCAAGCAAAUCAUUAUUAUCAUUUCUAAGAUUGGGAAUUGAAACAUCACAAACAUUUGAAUCAACCUUAGCUAACAAAUUAGCAUUCUCAUUUCUAAGGUUGUCAAUAGUCUCAUGGCAAGUGCUUAGCUCACUAAAUAGUUUUUCACAUUUUUCUACUUCUAGAGCAUAAGCAUUUUUAACCUUAACAUGCUUUUUGUUUUCCUUGAUUAGGAAGUACUCUUGGGUGUCCAAGAGGUCAUCCUUCUCAUGGAUGGCACUAAUUAAUUCAUUUAACUUUUCCUUUUGUUGCAUGUUUAGGUUGGCAAAAAGGGUACGUAAAUUAUCCUCCUCAUCACUAGCAUUGUCAUCACUAGAGGACUCAUAUUUAGUGGAGGAUUUGGAUUUAACCUUCUUCUUUUUGCCGUCCUUUGCCAUGAGGCACUUGUGGCCGACGUUGGGGAAGAGAAGGCCCUUGUUGAUGGCGAUGUUGGCGGCGUCCUCGUCGGAGGAGGAGUCGGAGGAGCUCUCGUCCGAGUCCCACUCGCGGCAUACAUGGGCGUCGCCACCCUUCUUCUUGUAGUAUUUCUUCUUCUCCUUUCUUCUUCCCUUCUUGUCGUCGCCCCUAUCACUGUCACUAGAGAUAGGACAUUUUGCUAUAAAGUGACUGGGCUUACCACAUUUGUAGCACACUUUCUUGGAGCAGGGCUUGUAAUCCUUCCCCCUCCUUUGCUUGAGGAUUUGGCGGAAGCUCUUGAUGACGAGCGCCAUUUCCUCAUUGUCGAGCUUUGAGGCGUCGAUUGGUUGUCUACUUGAUGUAGACUCCUCCUUCUUCUCCUCCGUCGCUUUGAAUGCGACCGGUUGUGUUUCGGAUGUGGAGGGGCCGUCAAGCUCGUUGAUCUUCUUUGAGCCUUUGAUCAUCAAUUCAAAGCUCACAAAAUUCUCGAUUACUUCCUCGGGAGUCAUUAGUGUAUAUCUAGGAUUGCCACGAAUUAAUUGAACUUGAGUAGGGUUAAGGAAAACGAGUGAUCUUAAAAUAACCUUAACGAUUUCGUGGUCAUCCCAUUUCUUGCUCCCGAGGUUGCGCACUUGGUUCACCAAGGUUUUGAGCCGGUUGUACAUGUCUUGUGGCUCCUCCCCUUGGCAAAGUCGGAAGCGACCGAGCUCCCCCUUGAUCGUUUCCCGCUUGGUGAUUUUGGUCACCUCGUCUCCUUCGUGCGCGGUCUUUAGUGUGUCCCAAAUCUCCUUAGCACCUUUCAACCCUUGCACCUUAUUAUACUCCUCUCGACUUAGAGAGGCGAGGAGUAUAGUUGAGGCUUGGGAGUUGAAGUGUUGGAUUUGGGCCACUUCAUCCUCAUCAUAAUCUUCAUCCCCUACGGAUGGUACCUGUACACCAAACUCAACAACAUCCCAUAUACUUUUGUGGAGUGAGGUUAGGUGAAAACGCAUCAAAUCACUCCACCUAGCAUAAUCUUCACCAUCAAACGUUGGUGGUUUGCCUAAUGGGACGGAAAGUAAAGGUGUAUGUUUAGGAAUGCGAGGAUAGCGUAGGGGGAUCUUACUAAAUUUCUUGCGCUCAUGGCGCUUAGAAGUGAUGGAUGGCGCGUCGGAACCGGAGGUGGAAGGUGAUGAAGUAUCGGUCUCGUAGUAGACCACCUUCCUCAUCUUCUUUUUCUUGUCUCCACUCUGAUGCGACUUGUGGGAAGAGGCUUUCUUUUCCUUCCCCUUCCCCUUGUUGCGGGACUCUUCCGAUGUAGCUUUCCCGUGGCUUGUAGUGGGCUUGUCGCCGGUCUCCAUCUCCUUCUUGGCGUGUUCUCCCGACAUCACUUCGAGCGGUUAAGCUCUAAUGAAGCACUUGCCUCUGAUACCAAUUGAAAGUCGCCUAGAGGGGGUGAAUAGGGUGAAUCUAAAAUUUACAAAAUUAAUCACAACUACAAGCCGGGUUAGCGUUAGAAAUAUAAUCGAGUCCGCGAGAGAGGGUGCAAAACAAAUCGCAAGUGAAUAAAGAGUGUGACACACGGAUUUGUUUUACCGAGGUUCGGUUCUCGCAAACCUACUCCCCGUUGAGGUGGUCACAAAGACCGGGUCUCUUUCAACCCUUUUCCUCUCUCAAAUGGUCCCUCGGACCGAGUGAGCUUCUUCUUCUUAAUCAAACGGGAACAAACUUCCCCGCAAGGGCCACCACACAAUUGGUGCCUCUUGCCUCGGUUACAAUUGAGUUGUUCACAAGAAAGAAUGAAAGAAAGAAGCAAUCCAAGCACAAGAGCUCGAAAGAACACAAGCAAAUCUCUCUCACUUAUAACUAAAGCUUUGUGUGGACUUGGGAGAGGAUUUGAUCACUUGGGUGUGUCUAGAAUUGAAUGCUAGAGCUCUUGUAAGUAGUUGGAAGAUGAAAACUUGGAUGACUUGAAUGUGGGGUGGUUGGGGGUAUUUAUAACCCCAACCACCAAACUAGCCGUUUGGUGGAGGCUGCUGUCGCAUGGCGCACCGAACACUGUCCGGUGCGCCAGCCACGUCACGAGACCGUUGGGUUCCGACCGUUGGAGCUCUAUCUUGUGGGCCCGCCUGGCUGUCCGGUGGUGCACCGGACAAGUCCUGUAGACUGUCCGAUGUGCCACCCGCGCAUGCACUGCUCCUCUGCACGCGCUGGCGCGCAUUUAAUGCUGUAGCAGGUGACCGUUGGCGCGGAAUAGACGUUGCUCCGCUAGCUCACCGGACAGUCCGGUGUGCACCGGACAUGUCCGGUGAAUUAUAGCGGAGCGGAUUCCCGAAGCUGGCGAGUUCAGAGUCGCUCUCCUCUGGGGCACCGGACACUGUCCGAUGGUGCACCGGACAGUCCGGUGAAUUAUAGCGGAGCCCUCUGAAAAUUCCCGAAGGUGAAGAGUUUAGCUUGGAGUUCCAUGGUGCACCGGACACUGUCCUGUAGUGCACCGGACACUGUCCGGUGGCACACCGGACAGUCCGGUGCGCCAGACCAGGGCACACUUCGGUUAUCCCUUGCUCUUUUUGUUGAACCCUUUUUCUUUGUCUUUUUAUUGGCUUUUGGUGAACCUUCGGCACCUGUAUAACUUAUAGACUAGAGCAAACUAGUUAGUCCAAUUAUUUGUGUUGGGCACUUCAACCACCAAAAUCAUUUAGGAGAUAGGUGUAAGCCUAAUUCCCUUUCACUACCUGUAUCCGUAUCCACGGGUACAGGCUCGUACCCAAAACCGUGCCCAACGGGUUUUUUAUCCGCGGGUACGUGGAUAAAUCACAUCCAUUGCCAUCCCUAGUAAAAACCCUUCUACUACCUUAGGAGCAAAUUUUGAAUGUCUACCUUUCUUUACCAGAAUGUAACAUUUGCUCCCAAAUACAUGAAAGUAUGAAACGUUGGGUUUGUUACCGGUAAGGAGUUCAUACGAGGUCUUCUUGAGAAGGCGAUGUAGGUAGAGCCGGUUUAUGGCGUGGCAAGCUGUGUUCACAGCUUCCGACCAAAACCGCUCGGGCGUCUUGAAUUCUCCAAGCAUCGUUCUCGCCAUGUCGAUAAGUGUUCUGUUCUUCCUCUCUACCACACCAUUUUGUUGUGGUGUGUAGGGAGCGGAGAACUCGUGCUUGACGCCUUCUUCCUCAAGAUACUCCUCCACUUGCAGAUUCUUGAACUCGGACCCGUUGUCGCUUCUUAUCUUUUUCACCUUGAGCUCAAAUUCGUUUUGAGCCCUCCUUAGAAAGCGCUUUAGGGUCCCUUGGGUUUCUGAUUUAUCCUGCAAAAAGAACACCCAAGUGAAGCGGGAAAAAUCAUCAACAAUUACAAGACCAUACUUACUUCCCCCGAUGCUAAGGUAGGCAACGGGUCCGAAGAGGUCCAUGUGAAGAAGCUCCAGUGGUCUUGAUGUUGUCAUCACAUUCUUGCUGUGAUGAGUGCUUCCCACCUGUUUCCCUGCCUGGCAAGCUGCACAAGGUCUAUCUUUCUCGAAACAGACAUUGGUUAGUCCUAACACAUGUUCUACCUUUAGAAGUUUAUGAAGGUUCUUCAUCCCAACAUGUGCUAGACGGCGAUGCCACAGCUAGCCCAUACUAGUCUUAGCUAUUAAGCAUGCAUCUAGAUCAGCCUCCUCUUUUAAAAAAUCAACUAAGUAGAGUUUGUCAUCUAAUACACCCUUAAAAGCUAAUGAACCAUCACUCCUUCUAAAGACAGAAACAUCAACAUUUGUAAAAAGACAAUUGUAACCCAUGUGACACAGUUGACUUACAGAUAGAAGGUUAUAACCAAGCGACUCUACUAGAAAUACAUUUGAUAUGGAGUGCUCGUUGGUGAUGGCUAUCUUUCCCAAACCCUUGACCUUGCCUUGAUUCCCAUAUCCAAAGAUAAUCAUAUCCUGGGAAUCCUUGUUCUUGACGUAGGAGGUGAACAUCUUCUUCUCCCCCGUUAUGUGGUUUGUGCAUCCGCUGUCGAUAAUCCAGCUUGAGCCCCCGGAUGCAUAAACCUGCAAGGAAUUUAAGCUUGGGUUUUAGGUACCCAACUCUUGUUGGGUCCUACAAGGUUAGUCAAAAUAACUUUUGAAACCAAAAUACAAGUUUUAUCUCCCUUGCAUUUGGAUCCCAACUUCUUAGCAACUACUUUUGUAUUUCUACAUGAAAGAACAAAAGAAGCAUUACAAGCAUGGUAAAUAGUAGAAGGUCCAUUGCACAUUUUUCUAGGAGAAUGAGACACAACAUGAUUUCUCCUAGGCCUACUUCUACCAUGAACAAAAGUAGGCAAACAUAGCAUGUGAGUUAUAAGCAGCAUGAUCAUAACUCCUAUUGUAAUGAGUGCGACUAGCAAUUUUCCUAUCAUAAAUAAAGGCAUGGUUCCUUUUGGGACUACUAGCCAUAGGAGCCUUCCCUUUCUCCUUGUUGAGAAUGGAAGUCCUUGGACUUGUUAAGUUCUUGGCUUCCUUUCGAAAACCAAGCCCAUCCUUAAUUGAGGGGUGUCUACCAAUAGUGUAGGCAUCCCUAGCAAACUUUAAUUUAUCAAAAUCACUUUUGCAAGUCUUAAGUUGAGCAUUAAGACUUGCCACCUCAUCAUUUAAUUUAGUAAUAGCAAUAAGAUGUUCAUUACAUGUAUCAACAUCAAAGUCUUUACAUCUAUUGCAAAUAACAACAUGCUCUACACAUGAACUAGAUUUAUUAACUUCCUCUAGCUUAGCAUUUAAAUCAUCAUUUAAAAUCUUUAAACUAGAGAUAGAUUCAUGGCAAACAGAUAACUCAGAAGAUAGCAUUUCAUUUCCCUUAGUUUCUAAAGCAAGAGACUUUUGUACACUAACAAAUUUGUCAUGUUCCUCAUAUAAAAUGUCUUCUUGCUUCUCUAGCAAUCUAUCUUUUUCAUUUAGAGCAUCAAUUAAUUCAUUAAUUUUCUCUACUUUGGCUCUAUCUAAACCUUUAAAUAAGCUAGAGUAAUCUACUUCAUCAUCGGAAGAAUCAUCAUCACUAGAAGUCGUGUACUUAGGGGUUUCUUGACUACGUACCUUCUUCUCCUUGGCCAUGAGGCAAGUGUGACGUUCGUUGGGGAAGAGCAAAGACUUGUUGAAGGCCGAGGCUGCUAGUCCUUCAUCGUCGGAGUCGGAUGAGGAGCAGUCCGAAUCCCAUUCUUUUCCAAGGUGCGCCUCACCCUUCGCCUUCUUGUAAACUUUCUUCUUCUCCCUCUUCCCAUACUUUUCUUGUUCCUGGUCAUUAUCAUUAUCGAGGCAUUGAGCAAUAAAAUGACCAGUCUUACCGCAUUUGAAGCAGGAGCACUUUCCUCUUGUUUUAUUCUUGUUGGGGUACUCCUUGCGUCCUUUAAGUGCGGUCUUGAAGCGCUUGACGAUAAGCGCCAUCUCAUCUUCGUUGAGGCCGGUAGCCUCCACUUGAGCUACCUUGCUUGGUAGUGCCUCCUUGCUGCUGGUUGCCUUGAGCGCAAUUGGUUGUGGCUCGUAGACGGGCAGAGGGCCAUUUAAGGCGUCAUCUACAUACCUUGCCUCCUUAACCAUCAUGUGCCCGCUUACAAAUUUUCCGAGUAUCUCCUCCGGUGUCAUCUUUGUGUACCUAGGAUUUUCACGGAUAAGGUUCACAAGAUGGGGGUCAAUAACUGUAAAGGACCUGAGCAUGAGUCGGACAAUGUCGUGAUCCGUCCAUCUUGUGCUUCCAUAGCUUCUAAUCUUGUUGACCAAGGUCUUGAGCCUGUUGUAGGUUUGUGUUGGCUCUUCACCCUUGAUCAUGGUGAAUCUCCCUAGCUCGCCUUCUACCAACUCCAUUUUGGUGAUCAUGGUGGCGUCGUUUCCCUCAUGAGAUAUCUUGAGGAUGUCCCAGAUCUGCUUUGCAUUGUCCAAGCCGCUAACCUUGUUGUAUUCAUCCCUGCACAGAGAUGCUAGCAAAACAGUAGUGGCUUGGGCAUUUUUAUGAAUUUGCUCAUUAAUAAACACGGCAUUGUCAGUACUAUCAUAGUGCAUUCCGUUUUCAACAAUCUCCUAGAUACUAGGAUGGAGAGAGAAUAAAUGACUACGCAUUUUAUGACUCCAGAAAGAAUAGUCUUCUCCAUCAAAGUGGGGAGGUUUUCCAAGAGGAAUUGAUAGCAGAUGAGCAUUAGAAUUGUACGGAAUACGAGAAUAAUCAAAUGAAUAGUUUUGAUUAACCGGUUUCUUCUUUGACGAGGAGUCAUCGUCGUCGUCGUGUGGUGAAGAAGACGAGGCAUCACUAUCGUAGUAGAUGAUCUUCUUGAUGCGCCUCUUCUUCUUCCCGUCUCUUUUCUUGUGACUCGAGCCUGAGUCGGUUGGCUUGUCGUCUCUAGGCUCGUUGAGGAAGGACUCCUUUUCCUUGUCGUUGACCACCAUCCCCUUUCCCUUAGGAUCCAUCUCUUUAGGUGGUUAGUCCCUUAGAUGAAGAGUACGGCUUCGAUACCAAUUGAGAGCACCUAGAGGGGGGGGGGUGAAAAUAGGUGAUCCUGUAAAAAUCAAACACUAAUAGCCACAAAACUUAGUUAUGAGUGUUAGUAUGACUAAGUAGCUUGAAGCGAGUUCUUGUGAACACAAACAAUCACAGAGAGAUCAACACAAGACACACAAUUUUUAUCCCGUGGUUCGGCCAAGUAGCACUUGCCUACUUCCACGUUGUGGCGUCCCAAUGGACAAAGGUUGCACUCAACCCCUUUCAAGUGAUCCGAUGAUCAACUUGAAUACCACGAUAUUUUCCUUAGAGUAUUUUCCCGUUUGCGAGGAAUCUCCACAACUUGGAGUCUCUCGCCCUUACAAUAGAGAUCACAAAGAAAGCACAAAUUAAGGUUGGGAAGAGCAACACACACAAGACUCAAAUACGCAGCACACCCACGCACACAAGUGAAGACUCGAGCUCAGAUGACAACACAGGGAGUUCGUGACUCGAAUGGAGCUCAAACCUCUAAUACUACAAAGCGAAUGCGCGGGAGCAGAGUCUGGAUGCCUUAGAAUACUUAGUGAAUGCUUGGGUAUCUCCUCCAUACGCCUAGGGGUCCCUUUUAUAGCCCCGAGGCAGCUAGGAGCCGUUGGAGACAAACUUGGAAGGCCAUCCUUGCCUUCUGUCGUGUGGUGCACCGGACAACUACUGUUCAUGUCCAGUGCACGAUUUCUUUCCGUACGGAGAACAGUCUACUGUUGCAGCUUCAGGCCCGUUGGCGCACCAGACACUGUCUGGUGCACACCGGACAGUCCGGUGCCCCCUGCCGACCGUUGGCGCGACCACGUGUCGCGCGAAGAUUGUGCGGCCGACCGUUGGCGCUGGCGAUCGUUGGCUCACCGGACAGUCCGGUGCACCACCGGACAGUCCGGUGAAUUAUAGCCACGUCGCCCCUUUGCUUUUCCCGAGGGCGACGAGUUCGCCGCGGAUGACUCACCGGACAGUCCGGUGCACCACCGGACGGUCUAGUGAAUUAUAGUCGUACGUCGCUGUCGAUUCCCAAGAGCAGCACUUUCACCGGAGACCAGCCUGGCGCACCGGACACUGUCCGGUGUGCCAGACUGAGCUGAAUUUGGCUGCACCGAGCCAUGUCUUUUCGGUUUCUUUUCUUGCUGUUUCUAGCACUUAGAUAACCUCAUAAUUAUUCAAAAACAAAUGUACUAAGUCUAGAAACAUACCUUGUUAUAUGAUUUUCACUUCUUGCUUGUUUGGCACAUAGCAACUCACUUACUAUGUGUUGGACACUUAGUCACCAAAACAUUAUAGAAAUGGCCCAAGGGCACAUUUCCCUUUCAACCUCCCCCAGUCAGCUGCCUGUGGUGGGUUAAUUUACGUUGGCUACGUUUCGAUUCUAUGUACUUUGAUUUAUAUUAUGUAAAUGACUCUAGAAUUUAAUAUUGUUACUGAUUCUUUAUUGUUAUUCGAAGCAUUGUGCUAUGAUGAGUCAUUUAUGUAAUCGCUGUGUACGUGAAUUUCUGAUCCUGGCACGUACAUGGUUCAACAUUCGGUUUACCUUAAAAACCGGGUGUGACAUAAGUGGUAUCAAAGCCUUGCUGACUGUAGGACCGCUGACCUAGAGUAGCAUUGGCCGUUUUAAGGACUUAUUGAUUACCACUUCACCUCAUCCUUGAUUCUGCUUCAAAAUAUUAGUCACCUCGACUAAUUCUAUGUUGUGCUCCUAUAUGCCCCCUUGCCAAAAAGUACUUUAUUCUAGUAUGGUCUAUACUUUUAUCAAUCUACUAGAUCUGAUCUCGCUCUUGUGCUUGCGACAUCCUUGUAGAUGCCCCUGACCAUAACCUUCUUGCCUUUUGGAUUUAUUCCUCUUCCAUCAUUAAAUUUCUACCAUUUGGCAAUCCUUAUUCCUUAGUUAGUGACAUACUUGUAUCUCUGAAUCCCUUAAUACUCUUGUUUCAAAUACUUACACCUGAAUUUCUACUGCCUACUUAGACAUUUCAGUUCAUAUGUCCAUGAACUUCUUGUCUUCUGAGAUCCUUUCCUAUUCCGUUGUUAAGUCGUUAUCCUUUGGCCUUUUCUAUUCCCUUGUCUUGGUAUGCCCAUAUCCUUGGGAUAUUGCAUACUCUUAUCUUUUUAUGUAUGCUUAUCUUUAUACCCCAAUAUUUGUUUAAGACAUUUCAAUUUACAUGACUUUGACCACCCUUGUUUCUUAAUGAUCCAUGAGUGGUCAUUUUACCUUUCAUAUCCUUGGUGAUCUCUUUGUCUCCAUGUAACUCCACUUGGUAAUGAAUUUUUUUACUUCAACUCUUCCGUCGGAACAUCACUUAUCUUAUCCUUGAUUGCUUUCCCCACUUCGUCACUUUGCGAGUCUUGCCCUAACUCUGUCCAUGGAUUAUGCUUUUCAUCAUUAUCACCUUUAUCCUUAUCACCUCUAUAUCUUACCUUGAUGUUUAUCUUAUACCGGCCUUUAAAAUCUCCCCCUUUUCCAUCUCAAUCUGAGCGUCGUACUUUACCUACUUUUCCCUUGGCCGUAUCAUCUUCUUUGUCAGCUGUGAGUUUUUAACUCUAUCCUUUGUUGUGUUUUUGUUUGUUAAUCCCUUUACCCUUCUCAUCACUCUAUCGUACCUUGUCAUUAUCUAAAAUCUUCAAUCUCCUAUCCCAAUUUGAGAGCGGUGUUUUACUUACCUUACCCUUGGCUAUAUCCUCUUCUUUACCGCGUGUAGGCUUGGGCGCAACUACAUUCUUUGUUGUAUUCAUAUCAUUGGCUCUUCAAUGCCUUCAUCUUUUCUCUCAUACCCUUGUCUGUUAUCGCCUUUGACCCUUGCUAUAUUUAUGUCUUCUACCUAAAUUCUUACCUUGAAGUUAUCCUUUAAAGGCAUCCCCUUUCUUUCCACCUAGUUUGAGAGUUGCGAGUUGCCUAUCUCUCCCUUAAUUUCUUUUCCGUCCUUGUCGCCUUACAAGUUUUGUCUUAAUUCCAUCCUUUGCUGUGUUUUUAUUCGCUAUCACCAUUCCCUGGUCAUCUGUCGAUCUUGCCUUGAUACUCAUCUUUAUUCCUAUUUUAAAAUAAUAUCCCCUCUCUUCGACCUCAAUUUGAGAGUGGCAAUUUACCUAUCUGGCCUUGGACGUACCCUCUCCUUUUCCAUUUGCAGGUCCUGUCUUAACUCCAUCCUUUAGGGUAUUUAUAUCCUUUAUCUCAUGCCUAUUUACCUCCUCUCCUACAUCCUUGCCCGUUAAUAUAUUUAAAACCCUCAUGAUAUCUAUGUCCUUGCCUUCCUGCUUACUUUGAACCUACCCUUUAAAGCCUCCUUUUUUCCAUCCAUGAUCGAUGGUAAUGCCUCACCCACUUCCCCAUUGAUGGCUCCCCCUUCUUUGACACCUUGCAAGUUCUAUCUAAAAUACAUCCUUUGUUGUGUGUUUGUCCGUUACCACCGUCACUCUUGGCGUCCCUUGAUCUUUACCUUGAUGCUUAUCAUGUACCCAUAUUUUAAAGCCGCCUCUCCCAUUUUAUUUCAAGAGUGAUGUCUUACCCAUCCCGCUCCUGUUUGUCCCCUUUUCCUCUGUCGCGUUGCAGGUCUUGGCUUUUGCUCGAUAUCACCCUUACCCUCCUAAUAUCUAGAUCUUUCCAUGAUGCUUAUCCUAUGCCUAUCUUUUGAAAUAUCAUCUUUCUCGUCUCGAUUUGAGAAUGGUGUUUUACCUAUCCUGACCUUGGUUGCAUUCUCUCCUUGUCGGUUACAAUCCUUGCUUUAGCUCCAUCCUUUAUUAUGCUCAUGCCCCUAUCCUGCAUGUCUUAUUAUUCCCCUUGCCUUUUGAUGGCCUUAGAGUAGUUUCCCCCUUUGUAAGGAAAGACCACCAUCUAGUUAACAUUAACGUGUAGCAACGAGAUGUUUGUUGCUGGAUGCUUGUGAUGUUUGUCUUUGUGUUAUGACUGAUUUGCUUCUUUGUGAUGAGUGUUGAUGUGUUGUGGCCCUUGGUCCACAAUUGCAUCCGUUUACUAAGUGAGUGUCAUAGAGUUAGGUAGUUGGGUGCUCUCCCUUUUCUCUCUUUAAUCCAUCUAUGCUUGCCUUUUCUAUCUGUACCCUUCCCUCUUGCACCUGUCCGGUUGACAUCCUCCAACCUCUCUUAAUCAAUCAAGAUCAGAGUCGUCAGCGUCUUUACCAAGUGCAUAUCAACGCUCCUGUUAAGGGGGUUAGCUGCUAACCCCAAUGAAGACAAUACGAUCAACAUCAACCAACAAGAUCAAAGUGGCACAACAGAAGUGUGUGUGGGUCCUAACACACAGGUCCAAGAGAUCCUCAAGAAUUGCAUCAAUCGGUCUCAAGCAUCUGAAGGUCAAAUCAACCAUUCCGCAAGUUAAAGUAGCCAAAGUGAAAGCUGGUUAGAAGAAGCAAUGAAAGACUAAUGAACCAAUCUCAUUUUCUUGCUAGCCUCUUCUUAAAUCUCGAGGGCGAGAUUCUGUUAAGGGGGUUAGAUUUGUAACACCCUGAAUUUGGGGGUAUAAAAUUUCUUUCCUAAUAUCCACCAAAUUCAGGUGUUACUCUCUCAUUUUUGUGCUUUCCUUCUCUUUUUCCUAAAAAUGGAGAAAUUAUUUUGUUUUAUAUAUCUGUAAGCCUAGUAAAAUUAAACCAUAAAAAGAAUCCUUGAUUGUUGCAUAUCAUGUCGAAACCUUUUUUUAUGUCGAAUUGUUUUGUUUGUGCAUCAAUUCAAACUCAUUACAUAUAUUUGAAUCUUUGAUUCAAAAACUAUAUUUAAAUUUGAAUAGGAAUAAAAAGAAGAGCAAAAAUAAUAAAAAGGAAAAGCCUCCCCCAACCCCUCUCGUCCAGCCCAGCUCGCCCCUCCCAGCGGCCUAGCAAGCCCCUUCCCCCCCAGCCCAUUAUCGCGCGCGGCCCACCUGGCCCACCUGGCCCGACGCGCCCCUCCCCCAAACCCUAGCCGCAUGGAACCCUGCCCCAGCCGCCACCUAGCGUCGACGCUCCCCCUCAGCCCACCUCGCAGUCUACCCCGUGUGGCCCGCCCCGCCCAUCAUCCCUGCGCGUCCGUGACCCUAUUCAUCUUCUCCCAACCGCCCCUCACCCACGACGUCGUCAUCUGCGCCCACGCCACCCCAGAAACCAGCAUGCGCACUCCUCUCUCCCUCGCACUCGCACAGAUCCUCGCCCAAACCAUCGGAGCUCGACAGCCUCGCUGCAUUCGCACCCUACCCUCGUCGCGAUCGUCAAGGUGACCAUUCCCCCUUCUCCUCCUCUUCCCUCCCUCCCUUCCCUGCGCCGCUUCCCCUUUUUUCUUCCUCGGCAUGCAGCAGCUCGGCGCGGGCGCGUGGAUACUCGGCCCCGGUGUGAGCUCGCGGCGCGGCGGCCAGCGAGUGGCGCUUGGCUCGGCCAGAGUGCGGCGGCGUGGUGCCCAGCAGAGCGGCCGGCGCGACUUGGCCAACGUGGCCAGCUCGGCUCGCGGUGUGGCUAGCGUGGCCCGCUCGGCCCGCGGCGUGGCCAGCACUGGGCGUGCGCCCGGCAGGGCCCUCGGCGCAGCAUGUUGUGCGACGGGCAUUCAACACGACCUCGGUGCGCAGCCCGCUUGGCAGUCCGUGCACGACCGCUGCACGCAGCAUGCCCCGGUGCAGUCCGUGCGGCAUGCGUGGCUCUCGUCCCCGAUCGUGUCGGCCUAUCCCUGCGCGUGCAAUGCCUAUCGCAUUUGUGUCCCAUUGCCCAUGGCAUCAUCGUUCGUUGCGCAUUGGGACUCCGACACCGCUCGCCUAGCCCCUCGAUUACCCCUAGACAUAGUAGUCCACCCCUAUCUACCCUCGUCUACCCUCCUUGUGCACACGUCUACUAGCUCCUGCACCGUCGCUCGCGUGAAUCGCUAAGUGCGCGCUUGAGUAAAACCAUUUCGUCGUAUCAUUUAGGUUACUUAAUCUAUUAAUUGCUUAGUUGUCUGUCAUUAAAUUAACUACUCGAUCGGAUCAAAUUUAUGAUUUUAAUUAUGCGAUUUGUAAAUACGUGGUAAUGUGAUUUUAACAACUUAGAUGUUGUACUUAAUAUCUAUUUAGUGUUUAGUAUAAAAACAACAUUUAAUUAGUGAUUCUCGCGUGUUCGCGUGCUGCUUCGUGUGUCACGUGUCGCUCACAUAGGUCGCGAGUUGUCUGCACGCUACCCGCCUGUACUGUUCGCGUAGCGCGUUUAAGUCAGCGCGUGCUGUUUGCGCGCAUCGUGCAUGUCGUUCACAUGUGUCGACGCGUGCUGUCGCGUGCGUCGUUCCGUGCACCUUGUUUAGUGAGUUCUGCACCGUGUCGCACUGCAAUAAACUGUUUCGCCUAGAAUCGCUCACGUUAAUUAAUUUACGUAAUUAAACGAUGGCUAAUCGAGUAGUAAACCAAUCGGAACUAAAUGUUAAUUCUAUCGAUGCAUGUGAUAAAUACCUCUAACUGUGGUUAUGCCAACUUAAGUGUUGCAUUUAAUAUGUGUAGUAUAAAUACGACACAAUUUAGUAGUAUUUCGCGUGUCGCGCCGUUUUUGCGAGUCGUACGCCAUUUACGCAUCGUUGUUGUUCGUUCGCGCCGCGCGUCUAGUGCAUGUGUUGUCGCAAGCACUGUUCCCAUGUGUGGCGCUCGUUGUCGUCAUGUCGCAUGUUUUAGUUGAAUAAUUAAUUAUUGGUUUGUUCGAGGGUUAAUAAAAUAAUAAUUUAAUUAGAACGAGUCUAUAGUUUUAACUCGUGUUUUUAUAAAUACAAAUGUUAAUUAACUUGAUUACUACCAGCUUAAAUACUUUUAAUAAUUAUUUGUUUGUUAUUGUUCGUGCACGGCAUCGUUUGCGCGUUAUCGUGUUGUUCGCGCGCGUAGUCGCGUUGACUCGCGCGUGUCGUGCACCUCGUACGCGUUAUUUCGCGUGUCGUCCGCGCGCUGUUUCGUACAGUGUCGCGUGUGUCACACGUCGUGUGCGUGCGUCGCGUGUGUCAUAUACACGUGUCGCUUGCCUUACCGCGCGUCGUUAGCGUGAAUCUCGUGUGUCGAUCACGUGUGUCGCGUGGUGUCUGUGUGUGAUAAUAAAUUGGUUUCGCUUGUAAAGACUCAUGUUAAUAACGUUGAUUCGUCAGAUCACAUAUUUUAGAUAAUUGACUUAAGGUUCGCUCAACUAAUAUUUAUUAGAUUAAUAAUCUAACUAGAUUAAAUGUGUAGUGUUCCACUUGAGCUUUUAUAAUAGAUAUUAAAAUGGCAAAUAUUAACUUAACUACAUUUUAUUUAUUUAAGAUUUGUUUAGUAUAAACGUGCCCCUUGUUUAGUUUUUCUCGCCUGUCGCACGAGCUGUUCCGCACGUGGUUGCGUGCGUCGUUCGCACUGGUGGCGCGCACUAUGUCGUGUGUUGUCAACAUGCUAUGUCGCACGUGUCUGCGCGUUGUUUCGCACGAUGUCGUGUUGUUUCUUGUGUCGUAAAUUCGCCUCGCUUAGAAUCUCUCGCUUUAAUUAAAUUACUGGUUUAACUGAUAGUUGUUAGUGUAACAGGUUAAGCGAAACUAAAUGAUAGAUAUUAUUUAUAUUUGAUAAUGUCGAAUUAAAUGUUAUAGCUAAUAUUUGUUUAACGUAAACGCGAUAACUUGUCGACUGUAGCUCCGACUGUCGCAUUUCUUAUCCUCGCAUAACUGUUGAAGUGCUCUUUAUUUUAUAUUGCUCGUUUUUAUAAUAUUUUAUCUUGUAUGGUUUAAUGUCCUUAUGCAUGUAUAUGUUUGUUUGCUUGUGCCUGUUUGUAUUCGCUGUGCGUCACGAAUAGAUUGCGAUCCGUUUCCGAGCUUCGAGGGAUCGAAGAUCAAGCGUUGGCGACCAAGUGAUAUAGCUCUUCCCGCGCGGCAUCUGAUGAUGAUCUCUGCGAUGUGGGCCCACCUUGUCGGAUUCACCUCGCUUCACCAGAUGACCCGCGUUCUGCUCCUGUGCAAAUCACAACAAAACCACCAAAUCUGCAAUAGCCCGCGAAAUUCUGGAAUUCUUGUUAGGAUUCGUACAGGACAUUGGGAUAAAAGGGCCGCCGUCCCUGCCUAUCACCAGAGAGUCAUCGAGGGCUUCAUCGUGAGCAAAUUGAGAAAGGGAGCAAGCCGCCAUUGGGGAAACUCGCACCGAGCUUCAUCGAAGAAAGAGAGAGAAGGAAGAGUUAGUGGAGGAAGCCGCCAACGUGCAUUAGGGCGUUCGGUGCUCUUGGGACCUCGAUGUGCAUCACUCGGUGAAGAUGCGCAACGGCGUGGGGAGCACGGAAGCCAGGGACUCGCCUCGCCGAAGUCCAUGGUGUGACGCCGAUCUACGACGAACAACGGAUGGGGCUCAUGCCGUUCAAUGCACUGGUAAACCACCACUGUUGUGUUAGCUUUUGUAUCCUCUCCAUGUGAUGUGGUACCCCAUCUGCUUGGACCCUAGAUCAAUGGUGGCACACGCUCCGGUGAUGGCUGCGACGCUGUUGAGUCUGGGCGCUGUGGGUCCGAACGCUGGAUGAAGAAGAAGCACAAUCAGCUGUUGAUCGUGGUGUGGGUGGCUAAGUGUAGUAACUUCCGAGAGGCUACUGGUGCCUCUAGGAAGUUAUUUACUUGCUACGGUUCUCGAUAGAAACCGUAGGAAGUUAUGAAGCCGUAGGACAUUCAAAAUUUUGGUGUAGUGUUCCCCUUCGGUGGCUGGAUUCGUGCCCUCGGAUCGAGAUCCCGCGGCCACCACUUCAUACCGGUUCGAUUGUGGUAUAUUUUAAUCUGGCGCGUGGGAGUUUGAUCCAACGACCGAGAUCCACCAAUACCCUUUCGACCGUGCGGUUAUUCAAAAGAGACCUCAGGGUUUGUAGUAAAUAAUCUGUCGUCCGAGUCAGUGGUAAGAUCAUUACAGAAAAGUCCUUGAGUUUACAAAAUGAACCCUGACCUCUUAGAAAAUUAUGUAUCCAGUCCAUAAUUUUUAGGAAUACUCGGAAUCAAAUGAGAAAAAGGAUUUUUAGUACAAAAAUAAAUCUCGGAACUUGUUUAAUUCAUAUUUAAUUCAUUUUAGCUCCAAAUUCAUCCAUUCCAGUUGCAAUAAUUUUUUUAAUAUUGUUCAUCAUCUAGUAACUUUGUUUAGCCAUGAAACUUAGAUUAAAAUUGUUCACUUGAAUUAGUGUGUACCAGGCAUUAAAUAACUCCAGAAAUUCAUAACUCAAUAACCGUAACUCCUUUUUCAUCCAUUCUAGUUGCAUUAGUCUCACAAUAAUAUUUAUUAUCAUCUGGCAACUUUGUUUUGUCAUGAAAUGUAGGUUAAAAUGUUGCACUUAGUCUAUUCUAUAUUUAACCACGUGGAUCUUCGGAAAACCGUAACUCCUUAACCGUAAUUCCGAAUUUAGUAGUUCUCGAACCCAUGAUCUCAUAGCAACGCGUAGAUCAUUAUUAUUCAGUUUAUACUUAUGUUUGAUGUGAUGUUAAUUUUUCCUAUACACUGUUUAUUUGUAUUGCUACGACUAGCGCGAGGUUACGAGAAUCUGAAGAGCAAGUUGGUACAUGAAAUCUCAAGUCCCAGGCAAGUUGUGCCCUUGAUCACUUCUUUUUACCCAGUCAUGUUCCGAUUAAUCAUAAUGAUCUGCAUAGGUUAAUUUUGAUGGCACCCAAUAGGUUACCCUAGUUUGACUAUCUUUAUACCUUGUUUACCACAGAAUUUUUUGAUAGUACCUGCUAUUGCUUUAUGAGGUUUUGGGUAUAAAGAUACACAUUAUUAUUCAUUAUUAUAGUUUAUUAUCGUUAUUAUUUAUUGUUCAUGAUAAGAUCAUUAUGUUAAUUGGAACAUGGAGAACCACCCGGGAAAACAGCGCUACCACAAGGGUGGCAUGGGACGCCCUUGACUGACUAAUUAGGAAAGCUAGUGGAGGACUACCUUACCCGAAAGGGGCAAGGGCAGUAGGGGAGUGGUCAGUGUAGGGAGGUCCUUGGGUUGAUUUUGCUGCGAUGGCGGUCAGGCGAGGGAUCCCUCCAUUGGAGCUUCCUAGAAACUGUAGCGGGUUUUCUCAAGCUAGUGGAACUUUGUAAAUGCCUCGAAGUGUUACCCUGCCUCGCCUCCUUGGUAGAGGUGUAUAGGAGUGGCCUUCUCUUGGCAGAUGGGUAACAUGACUUGUGGGUAAAUAUGCGCAACCUCUGCAGAGUGUAAAACUGGUAUAUCAGCCGUGCUCACGGUCAUGAGCAGCUCGGACCCUCACAUGAUUAAUUUAUGUAACUAAAUUCAAUUUGUCAUAUGCAUUGCAUCGCAGGUGUUGUUAUCACUAUUGUUCUACUACUUAAUUGGGUUGGUAUUUACUUAUACUUAGUAAUUGCUAAUAAAAUUUUGACCAACUUUAAAAGUAAUGCUCAGCUUUAACCAUCCUCUUUGGUAAGCCUUACACUUCAUAUGAGCUCCCACCUUUGGCGAGUUCAUGCACAUUAUUCCCCAAACCUUGUUGAGCGAUGAACGUAUAUGAGCUCACUCUUGCUGUCUCACACCCCACACAGGUCAAGAACAGGUACCGCAGGAUGAGGCGCAUGGAGGAUGCUGUGAUGAGUUCGUGAGAGGUCUAGUUCGUUGUCUACAGUCAACUUUGGGUUGCUGGGUCGUUGUCUCCUUAUGAUGUAAUUAUUUAUUUAUUUUGUGCAAAACUCCUAUUAUAUAGUAAAGAUGUGACAUUUGUUUUUGUUCCACUAUUCAUCAUAUGUGUGAGACUUGGUCCCGGCACACCUGGUGAUUAUUUCGCGCCUGAGUUUUGGACCCCUAAAACCCAGGUGUGACAGUAUUACUACUCACAUAAGCGGUAAACAACAGUAAAACAUGCACAAUUACUAAGAACAUAAUGUACCCUACGGAGGGACCGAUGUUCAAGGCAUCAGUUGCUCCAUUCACACCAAACAUCUCGUGUGUAUGUUCGAUGUAGUCGUACGCAGUCGAUGCAGGCAGAUUGAUGCGUCACGAUGCCCGAUCUUCACGACGUAGGAUCAAUCUUCAGAUAACUAGCUUCAAGGAAGCCAAGAUAACUUGCUACAAGCAGCGAUAACUAGUGCAACCUGACAAAUAAAACUCGAAGCCAACCACCGUCUUUAACCGGCAGCCUGAAUCGAGGAUUCGCCCAACCACACUCUCAAAGAACCAACCAACACAGCCUACAAUCAAUCGAGGAGACCUCGAAGGGAGUAGGAGCACCAAUUGGGAGCGGAUGAAGCCGCCGCUUCUGCAAUCCCGCGAAGGAAUUCACAAGAGCAAAGGGGUAGAGAUGACUCUCAAUAUUUGUUAGCACACAGCUGAACAAAGGGGUUCUGUUUUAGAUUAUCAUAAGUUGCCUUACAUCUUAGACAUAGGGGGUAUUUAUACUAGUAACAACCAGCCUUAGCGAGGUAUAAACACAAAACAAAAGUAUUUUCACGAGCUAAUGUGAAGGAGCCUCUUCGGGAGAUCUGCAGAGUUGAUUUCCGUGUGGCUGUUUGACUUCUGCGCAGCCUUCAGUAUUUUGACAAUAACUUCUUCUAGGAAUCUUCAAAUGACGUGGGACUGGUUGCAUUGGAAAGCUAACUUGAUAAGAUUUCUCACCAUAUAUAGCAUGCUUAAUGAAACUUCGUAGAAUGAUGCAGUUUAAUACGAAAACUUGGUCAUCAAGCUGACUGUUGACCUUCUGACCAGUCGGCACUAAAGUAGGUCGGCUGCCUUUCUGGUAGAUGUGGUUAAGUCGGAUUUAGAAGCAUUGGAAACUAGACUUCAAGAGCUUUCCAAAAAGUACUUAUGGGCCUUCAUAGCUUUUGGGAAUCAAAAGAUAUGACUAUUUCUUCUGGACGGUUCUGUUGCGCUGGACUGACUCGGAUAUAGCUCUUCUUGCUGAUUCGCCCUUGAUAUGUUUUGUCCUUCCUCUUUGGUGAACCUAAGUAAUAUCAACAUACACGACUUAGGUAGCAUAAAAUUCUCAUUAGUGUUUAAAUGAAAUUCAUAAAGUAGUGCGUGCACCUCUUGCUGUAGCUUCUUAGCUCGGCUACGUGUAAUUGGUCCAUCAAAGACUUGGGUUGGUGAUGAUGUUGGUUGUACUUGAGUUGAUGUAGUAUGACUUGGGGGUUGUAACAUGUUGCUUAAUGGCGUGGUCAUAUCAUCCUCCUCCCCUUGAAAAGGAGUCGUCCUCAACUCUGAAGUGUCUUCGCUUGUAUAUGGUAAGAGGUCAGCAACAUUGAACGUGUUGCUCACGCCAUGGCUUGGUGGAAGAUCUAUCUUGUAUGCAUUAUCAUUGAUCUUGGCAAGAACACGAAAUGGACCAUCACCUCGUGGCAUCAAUUUGGAUUUGCGCUGAUCAGGAAAACGCUCCUUGCGUAAGUGAAUCCAAACCAAGUCCCCCAGCUCAAAUAACACUUUCUUCCUAUGCUUGUUCAUACUUGCAGCCUUGCGCACUGCUUUGAGCUCAAUUGCUUCCUUGGUCUUCUCAUGUAUCUUUUUUAUAUAUGCAGCACGCUUGGAAGCUUCCAUAUUGGUUCUUUCCUGCAAUGGAAGGGGCAACAAAUCUAUGGGAGCAAUAGGUUUGAACCCAUAUACAAUUUCGAAGGGGCAUAAAUUAGUUGUAGAAUGUACUGCCCUAUUAUAAGCAAACUCCACGUGUGGCAAACAUUCCUCCCAAUCCUUCAAGUUCUUUUUUACCAUUGUUCGCAGCAGCAUUGACAAUGUACGAUUCACCACUUCAGUUUGGCCAUCAGUUUGGGGGUGGCAUGUGGUGGAGAACAAAAGUUUAGUCCCAAGCUUUGCCCACAAUGUCUUCCAAAAAUAGCUUACAAACUUCACAUCACGGUCAGAUACGAUGGUCUUGGGCACUCCAUGUAGUCUCACGAUUUCUCUGAAAAACAAAUUAGCAACAUGUGAAGCAUCGUCGCUCUUGUUGCAUGGAAUAAAAUGAGCCAUUUUUGAAAAUCUAUCAACCACAACAAAAAUAGAAUCUCUCUUUUUUCGAGUCAUCGGCAGCCCUAAAACAAAAUCCAUGCUUAUGUCUUCCCAAGGAAUUUUAGGAGCGGGUAAAGGAGUAUAUAAACCAUGAGGGUUCAAUUUUGACUUAGCUUUGUGACAGGUGACACAACGCUCCACAAAUCUGAUGACGUCUCUCCUCAUCUUGGGCCAAUAGAAAUGAUCACUGAGCAUUUCAUAAGUCUUCUUUUGUCCAAAAUGACCUGUUAGACCGCCUCCAUGUGACUCCUGCAAUAAAAGCAAUCUAACCGAAGAAUUUGGUACACAAAGUUUGUUAGCUCUAAACAAAAAUCCAUCAUGUAUAUGAUAUUUUUCCCAACCUUUUCCAUCUUUACAAUGAUUGUAUGGUUCUAAAAAUUCAGGAUCAUCAUUAUACAUUUCUUUCAAAUUUUCAAGACCCAAAACUUUUACCUCUAGUUGAUUCAACAACACAUUCCUUCGAGACAAGGCAUCAGCGACCACAUUGUCCUUACCUUUCUUAUAUUUCACAAUGUAUGGAAAUGUUUCGAUAAACUCAACCCAUUUGGCAUGGCGACGGUUCAGUUUGGCUUGCCCUUUCAAAUAUUUCAAAGCUUCAUGAUCGGAAUGAAUAACAAACUGUUUUGGCCAUAAGUAGUGUUGCCAUGUUUCAAGCGCUCGGACCAAAGCAUACAAUUCUUUGUCAUACACAGAAUAAUUUAAUUGAGCACCUCCAAUUUUUCACUAAAAUAUGCUAUAGGUUUUCCUUGUUGCAUUAAAUUUCCUCCUAUCCCAAUCCCACUAGCAUCACAUUCUACUUCAAAAGUUUUAGUGAAAUCAGGAAGAAUAAGUACAGGUGCUUCAGUCAAACGUUUCUUCAAUUCUUGAAAAGCAUCUUCUUGUGAGUUUCCCCAUUUAAAUUCAACACCUUUCUUUGUCAAUUCAUUUAAAGGAGAAGCGAUGGUACUGAAAUCUCGCACAAAUCUUCUAUAAAACCCAGCAAGACCAUGAAAACUUCUUACUUGACUUACAUUCGUUGGAGCUGGCCAAUCCUUGAUGGCUUUCACCUUGGAUUCAUCCACCUCUAUUCCUUUUGCUGAAACAACAAAGCCAAGAAACACAACAUGGUCUGUGCAAAAACUACACUUCUCAAGAUUAGCAAAUAAUUUCUCCUUUCUUAGCUCAUCUAAAACUUGUCGAAUGUGUUUCAAAUGUUCAUCAAAAGUCUUGCUGUAAAUUAGAAUAUCAUCGAAGUAGACAACAACAAAUUUUCCAAUGAAAGUUCUUAAGACAUGGUUCAUUAAUCUCAUAAAGGUACUAGGAGCAUUAGUUAACCCAAAGGGCAUCACUAACCAUUCAUACAACCCAAAUUUUGUUUUAAAUGCAGUCUUCCAUUCAUCUCCAGUUUUCAUUCUUAUUUGAUGGUAUCCACUUCUCAAAUCAAUUUUAGUAAAAAUUGUGGAACCACUUAAUUCAUCAAGCAUAUCAUCUAGUCGUGGAAUAGGAUGGCGAUAGCGAACGGUAAUAUUAUUUAUAGCUCUACAAUCAACACACAUCCUCCAAGAUCCAUCUUUCUUAGGUACUAAAAUCACAGGAACAGCACAAGGGCUUAAGCUUUCACGAACAAAACCUUUAUCAAGAAGUUCUUGCACUUGCCUUUGUAUUUCCUUAGUUUCUUCAGGAUUGGUUCGAUAUGGUGGACGGUUAGGAAGUGCAGCCCCUGGAAUAAGAUCGAUUUGAUGCUCAAUCCCUCGAAUUGGAGGUAGUCCAGCCGGUGUUUCUUGUGGAAACACGUCUUCAAAGUCCUGCAAAAGAUCAGCCACAACACUAGGAAGAGAUGUUAUGUCAUUAGCAGAAAUCAAAACAUCUUUGUUCACAAGUACAAAGAGUACUUGAUAUGGGUUGUUCCUCACUUCUCUCAGCUCAGAUUUUGUGGCUAGCAUAACUAGAUGUUCUCCCUCUUCCUUCCUUUUAUCUCUUGAAUUUGGCUUGUAGCACUCGCUCACCGAAUUGUGGAUGGCACUCAAUUUCUUUUGCUCUUCUCCUCCUCUACUUGCUGUACUAAUUUCAGUUUUCUUUUGUAAGUGUUCAACCAUGAUUUGUUGAGGGGUCAUAGGCUUGAGUACAAACUUUCUCCCUUUCAGAUCUAGCGUGUAUUGAUUUGUUCUUCCACAAUGCUGAGAAUAUCGGUCAUAUUGCCAAGGUCUUCCUAGCAGCAUGUGACACACAGACAUGGGUGCAACAUCGCACUCCACUGUGUCAACAUACUCUCCAAUCUUGAACGGAACUUUCACCUUAUAACCAAUCUUGAUAUCUCCUGAUUCAUUCAACCAUUGUACAUGAUAUGGAUGAGGGUGUCGCUGCAACUUCAAACCAAGCUUGUCAACCAUCUCACGACUUGCAAGAUUAUGGCAGCUCCCUCCAUCAAUAAUCACCUUUACUACUUUGUCUUGCACUUUGGCUCGCGUUUGAAAAAGAUUAUGUCGUUGUCCAAUUUCAGCUUCUUUCAUUUGAACACUCAAGAUUUGUGUAACCACAAGAGUAGUACCAUGCUCAAAUUCACAUCCCGUAUGUUCUUCAGAUUUAUCAAUGUCAUCUUCAUUUCCUGCUUCAGCUUCAUCUUCACUCGCUGAUGUAUAUUCUCCAUCAUCAGUCACAAGGAUCAUACGAUUAUUUGGACACUCCUUUAUGACAUGACCACGACCUCCACUCUUGAAACACUGAAUACCACUACUCUUGGCUGUUGAACCCACUGAUGUUGAAGCGGAGGUUGCUGGUUUAUAACUCGUGUUUGGAGCAGCACCGUUCUUUCCACUAGAAUUGCCUUGAAUAUUGGAUCGCAAGCCCCCAGUUGAACCUUUUGUCACUGAGGAUGCAGCAGUAAACCUUGAGAUCGAUUUGCUUCCUCCAGUCAUGGUUCGUGCACCAUAUGAGAAGGGCUUGCUGUUCUUAGCAUCUUGUUGCAGCUGGCGUUCAGCUUUGGUGGCUUGAUGUACCAAAUCAAUAAGACUUUGGUACGGCUGAAACUCAACAAUACGCUGAAUGUUGCGGUGUAACCCAGCCAUGAAACGUGCAAUGGUUUGCUCUUCGUCUUCAUACACAUUUGCUCUAAUCAUGGCCUUCUCCAUCUCCUUAUAGUACUCCUCAACAGAGAAACUUCCUUGCCUUAAAUUCUGCAAUUUAUCAAAAAGAUCACGCCGAUAAUGCUUCGGCACAAAACGAAUUCUCAUUUCUCGCUUCAUCUCUUGCCAAGUAAUAAUAGGGUCCUCUCCAUCUUCUUCACGAUCACGAAGAAGUUGCUCCCACCAAAUCAGAGCAUAUCCUUCAAACUCAAGAGAUGCCAUUGCAAGUUUCUUCUCCUCUGAAUAAUUAUGUAGGCGGAAGAUUUUCUCCACUUUCAAUUCCCAUGUGAAAUAAUCUUCAGGAUCAGAUCUACCAUCAAAUUUUGGCAUGGUAAACUUAAGUUUCCCAAAUCUCUCUUCUUGGUUGACACCUUUAUGAUGAUGACGACCAUAGCGAUGUUGAGACUGAUCAUCCCCAAAUUCAGAUUCUUCAUUGUCAUUAUUUCUUCGAUUCCGGCCUCUUCCUCUACCAUAUGCAGCACCUUUAUUUCUCCUCCCAUGUUCACUUGCUCUUCUAGAAUAAUUUCCUUCAUCUUCUUCCCCAUUUUCAUCAUGGUUUCUUACACCGUCGGGGAGUCGACGACGACCUCUGAUUUCUGCCAUAAGUGUCUGAAGAUCUUGUGCCAACAGAUCUUGCUUGGCUUCUAUGCUUUGUUUGAGCUCAUUGAAUUGUAUCAAGGUGACACAUUCUUCAAUCUCAACGUUGGGAUCCAUCUUCCUGCGAAGUUAGUGGCAACAAGGCAACAAAUAUAGGUGGAAUAUGAAGCUAUAUAGAAUCUCACAACCUCACCACUCUUACCAACCAAAGCUCUUAUGAGUUCCCUGCGGGUUGCAAGAAAAUGUGUGGUGGUAACAAGAAAGUGGUGGUUAAGCGAAUACAAGACCAGUGUACCGAUUACGAUGGCUUAUAUGUGGAGCUUGGUGGGGAUUAAUAAACAAGGGACACAAUCUGAAUUCUAGUUGUUGUUAAGUUAAAUAACCAUCCGACUAGAAGUUCCCUGCCUAGUGCUGACCACAAGAUACGAGUGAUGUAAAUAGAUCAAACACACGCGUAAGAAAUUUCAGAUUUGAUGCAGACAAGGAGUAUGAUUGGAAUGCAAGUGUUGCAAUCAGAUCCAACCAAAAUUUUGCACCAAAUGACAAUAGCAAACUGGUUAAACAACUUGAUAAAAUUUUCAGCACUUGUGCACAUAAACAAACUGAUUGUUCUACUUUUCUUUCACAAUCUUGUUCAACACUUUUCUUUGGUACUUUUUUUCUUCUCUUUUUUUUGAUACUCUUUUUUAUAGAACUAAACACAGAGAUCUGAUAUGAUAUUGCACACUUUAUAAUACUUAACAAAGAACUCAACCAGCAGCUAUAACUUAAAUAGGAUCAAGUUAACGCGAAGGAAAUGAUAAGAGUUUUCAGAUUUUUCUUUUUGUGGAUAUUUCCAGAUAUAUAUAAGAGGCUCAAAGGGAACACAAAGGAUAGAGUGACCAGCAACUAAACAAAGACUCUAAGGACUGAAACUUAACAAAACUCACUGGAACAACAGAUUGAAACAAAGGGCUAUGACAAAAUAUUUUAUGGCUUUUUGGUGGAUAGGACGAACACAAAAUAUAUGUAUCUAAGGGUAAAGAAUCCUACCGUGGCAACUGAGGCUUUGAUACCAGAUGAUGCGUCACGAUGCCCGAUCUUCACGACGUAGGAUCAAUCUUCAGAUAACUAGCUUCAAAGAAGCCAAGAUAACUUGCUGCAAGCAGCGAUAACUAGUGCAACCUGACAAAUAAAACUCGAAGCCAACCACCGUCUUUAACCGGCAUCCUGAAUCGAGGAUUCGCCCAACCACACUCUCAAAGAACCAACCAACACAGCCUACAAUCAAUCGAGGAGACCUCGAAGGGAGUAGGAGCACCAAUUGGGAGCGGAUGAAGCCGCCGCUUCUGCAAUCCCGCGAAGGAAUUCACAAGAGCAAAGGGGUAGAGAUGACUCUCAAUAUUUGUUAGCACACAGCUGAACAAAGGGGUUCUGUUUUAGAUUAUCAUAAGCUGCCUUGCAUCUUAGACAUAGGGGGUAUUUAUACUAGUAACAACCAGCCUUAGCGAGGUAUAAACACAAAACAAAAGUAUUUUCACGAGCUAAUGUGAAGGAGCCUCUUUGGGAGAUCUGCAGAGUUGAUUUCCGUGUGGCUGUUUGACUUCUGCGCAGCCUUCAGUAUUUUGACAAUAACUUCUUCUAGGAAUCUUCAAAUGACGUGGGACUGGUUGCAUUGGAAAGCUAACUUGAUAAGCUUUCUCACCAUAUAUAGCAUGCUUAAUGAAACUUCGUAGAAUGAUGCAGUUUAAUACGAAAACUUGGUCAUCAAGCUGACUGUUGACCUUCUGACCAGUCGGCACUAAAGUAGGUCGGCUGCCUUUCUGGUAGAUGUGGUUAAGUCGUCUUUAGAAGCAUUGGAAACUAGACUUCAAGAGCUUUCCAAAAAGUACUUAUGGGCCUUCAUAGCUUUUGGGAAUCAAAAGAUAUGACUGUUUCUUCUGGACGGUUCUGUUGUGCUGGACUGACUCGGAUAUAGCUCUUCUUGCUGAUUCGCCCUUGAUAUGUUUUGUCCUUCCUCUUUGGUGAACCUAAGUAAUAUCAACAUACACGACUUAGGUAUCAUAAAAUUCUCAUUAGUGUUUAAAUGAAAUUCAUAAAGUAGCGCGUGCACCUCUUGCUGUAGCUUCUUAGCUCGGCUACGUGUAAUUGGUCCAUCAAAGACUUGGGUUGGUGAUGAUGUUGGUUGUACUUGAGUUGAUGUAGUAUGACUUGGGGGUUGUAACAUGUUGCUUAAUGGCGUGGUCAUAUCACAGAUGUACGCAGUGCAAUCCCUCGAACGGUGCCGUCAACGAGGAACCUGAUCAGCGUUGUUUGAACGGACGAAGCGAGCAGUCGCGAGUACGCUCCCAAAAACCUAAUCGUCCGCACACUCGUGCAAGUGUAGCUCUGAAGUUGGGACGAGAAUGGUUGUGUGCAACACAUCUGAGACUGUUCGUACAUGUUGUCACCAGAAGCAGCCUCCCCUCCUCCGUAUAUGUACACGCGCAGAGGGAGGCGAACGGAUAGUAACGGUCGCCAUCAGAGCUACCGUUACAGCCAGCCAGAAACUGGUGCCAUCAGUGACGUCCGUUACUAGCUGACAGCCAUUACAUCCCAUUUAGCCAUAACACAGAAAACGACCAGUAACGGACGGUCAUUACUCCAGGCAAAAUACGCAACUGUUAGGAAGAAAUAUUCGGACUAAGGUCCGAUCUACCACGGCCACGGCCGACAGCACGCGCGUGUGGUAGUUCUUCAUUCUUUUCUCAUCUUCUCAAUAGAUGCACUAAAGGUCCACCUAUUUAAAUUGAUUGAAUGGUCCUUGAACUUCCGAUAUGGUACUAAAGUAUUAGUACACUGUAGUAUUAAAGUGCGCCUUUAGCAUUGACUAUUGUUGAAUAUUAAUUUGAACCAGACCUACAUUAAUUCAACAAAUAGUCUAUCACACACUGGGUUUGCUAGAUCCGUCGCGACACACGGGCACUGUACUAGUUUAAACUAAAUUCUACACUAGCCUGCUAGUCUAUACCACGCAUGAUAUCCAGCAGUCAACUUGGAUCUGGUUAUCAAGUACUCCUAAAGUACCGAACGCCAUCGAGGAGUUGCUAUGGUAGUGAGAUCGACCGCUGGUAGGAAGCAGCGUAAAAGUCUCCCGACUGAUGAAUCAUCCGUUCACACGGUCUAAACCUAUCUUGACGGCGACCCCUCUCCGACUCCGAUCGUGGUGACCCGCCGGCCAGGUGCACGACGGAGCAGCAGCAGUGCUUGUGAACCGCGUAAAACGAGAUACCCAACGUGGUGACAUCGGCAGCCCCGUGCUUGAGUGUGGCUGCCUGCCCGCGCUAUCUCUCCUCCCUUCAUCUUCCAUCGGUUUUGGACCGCACAGGCACUGCCACGGGACCACGUCGAUCGCCGCCCACUUGCAUUGCAGGCAGCUAGCUAGCGUGAAUCAAUUUUUGUUGUUUCUCUUUGUCUUAUUACAUCAGAGAUUAUUAGCUAGUGCCAUGUUGGCACUUGAGAAAUCCGAAAUAUGCAUGUAUACGUGCAUGAAAUGUGGCCGUACGUGUAUAUAUACACAUACGCAUCUUCACAAAUCAAUUCCACCAGAACAAGGUUGUACCUUUUUUUAUUGGGAGGAACUCUACCAUCUUUGUAAUGGUUAUUCCAAAUCAAUUGUACCUAGGGCAAAUUGUUGAAGGGUUAUGAGGAGUCUACACAGCGCAAAAAAAAAAAUUUGACCCAUAAAAACCAAGAACUCACUACCAGAAUUGAGCGCUUUGCCGAGUGCCUUCGGUAGUGAGAAUUGAGCGCUUUGCCGAGUGCCUCCUGAAAAACAUUCAGUAAAUAUUUUACCGAGUGUGACACUCCGCAAAGAGAGCUUGGCGAAUAGUACAUCGGCAAUGACUUCUUUGCCGAGUAUUUUUUAUCGGGCACUCGGCAAAAACUUUGUCGAGCGUCGUCGGUACUCGGCAAAGAAAAGCGGCCGUCACGGCAUCGGGUGACAGACACAGCGCCUUUGCCGAGUGUCUCCUAAUACACUCGGCAAAGAAGUUACCCCUUUACCGAGUGUCUACCGAUCUGCACUCGACAUAGGAUCCACCAGUGGGUCCCUUUGUCAGGUUCUUUGCCGAGUGCUAUAGUAGUGUCGGCGUUUCGACCCCGGGGGGUCCCUAGACCGACGAGUAAACUGUCGCCGUGUACCCCAGCCCAGAUGGGUCGGCGCGAGGCGGAGCACGAAGGGGGAAGAAAACAGGCAAAGGGGAAACCCGCGGCCUUCGUGUUGCCCUGCGCCCAGGUCGGGUGCGCUUGCAGUAGGGGGUUACAAGCGUCCGCGUGGGAGAGAGAGAGAGCCUUACGCGCCGGCCCGUUCUCCCGCGCGACCAACCUUCUCGUACGAGAGCCCUGGACCUUCCUUUUAUAGGCGUAAGGAGAGGGUCCAGGUGUACAAUGGGCGGUGUAGCAGUGUGCUAACGUGUCUAGCAGAGAGGAGCUAGAGCUCUAAGUACAUGCCGUCGUGGCAGUCGGAGAGGUUUUGGCACUCUGUUCAUGUGAUGUCGUGGCCGUCAGAGGAGAGCUGGAGCCCUGCGGAAGGACAGCUGUCGGGGCUGUCAAAUCCUUGCUGACGUCUCCUUGCUUCCGUCAGGGGCUGAGAGCCACCGUCGUCAUGGAGCACGCGGGGCGCCAUCAUUACUUGUUUACCGGGGCGAGCCGGAUGGGACGCCGGUCUUGUUCCCCGUAGCCUGAGCUAGCUAGGGGCAGGGUAAUGAUGGCCUUCCUUGUGUCGUGGCGGGUCCGAGCCCGAGGUCGGGCGAGGCGAAGGCUCCUCCGAGGUUGAGGUCGAGUCCGAGCCCUGGGUCGGGCGAGGCAGAGUUCGUCUUCCGAGGUCGAGGUCGAGUCCGAGCCCUGGGUCGGGCAAGGCGGAGUUCGUCGUCUUCCGGAGCCGAGGCUGAGUCCGAGCCCUGGGGUCGGGCGAGGCGGAGUUCGUCGUCUUCCGGAGCCGAGGCUGAGUUUGAGCCCUGGGGUCGGGUGAGGCGGAGUUCGUCGUCUUCCGGAGCCGAGGCUGAGUCCGAGCCCUGGGGUCGGGUGAGGCGGAGUUUGUCGUCUUCCGGAGCCGAGGCUGAGUCCGACCCCUGGGGUCGGGUGAGGCGGAGUCCGUCGUCUUCCGGAGCCGAGGCUGAGUCCGAGCCCUGGGGUCGGGUGAGGCGGAGCUGCCUAUGGCGCCUGAGGCUGGACUUAGCUGCUGUCAGCCUCACUCUGUCGAGUGGCACAGCAGUCGGAGCGACGCAGGCGGCGCUGUCUUCUUGUCAGGUCGGUCAGUGGAGCGGCGAAGUGACUGCGGUCACUUCGGCUCUGUCGACUGAAGAGCGCGCGUCAGGAUAAGGUGUCAGGCGAUCCUUGCAUUAAAUGCUCCUGCGAUACGGUCGGUUGGCGUGGCGACCUGGCCAAGGUUGCUUUUAUGCGAAGACUGGGCCUCGGGCGAGCCGAAGGUGUGUCCGUUGCUUGAGGGGGCCCUCGGGCGAGACGUGAAUCCUCCGGGGUCGGCUACCUUUGCCCGAGGCUGGGCUCGGGUGAGGCGAGAUUGCGUCCCUUGAGUGGACUAAGCCUUGACCUUAAUCGCGCCCAUCAGGCCUUUGAAGCUUUGUGCUGAUGGAGGUUACCAGCUGAGAUUAGGAGUCUUGGGGGUACCCCUAAUUAUGGUCCCCGACAGUAGCCCCUGAGCCUCGAAGGGAGUGUUGAUACUCGCUUGGAGGCUUUUGUCGCACUUUUUUGCAAGGGGACCGGCCUUUCUCGGUUGCGUUUAGUUCCGGUGGGUGCGCGCGAGCGCACCCGCCGGGUGUAGCCCCCAAGGCCUCGGAGGAGUGGUUUGACUCCUUCGAGGUCUUAGCGCGUUUCGUGAUGCUUCGGCCGGUCUGGUUGUUCCCUCAUGCGAACUGGUCAUAGCCUGGGUGCAUAGUCGAGUCCCAAGUUCUCGGGCUGGUAUGUUGACGCUGUCAACGGUUUGGCCGAUGCCAGGUUUGCGAGAGCAGCCCCCAAGCCUCCGCACAGAGCGAGAGGACGGUCAAGGACAGACUCGGCUUUUUUCAUAUGCCCCUGUGUCACCUUUCCGCAAGGAGGGGGGAAAGCGCCAUGUUGCCCUCGAAGGGCGCCGAACAUGGUGUCUCCAGUGAGUUGCUAAUGGGUAAUCCGAGUGGAUGCCCGUGCCCCAUUCGUUAGGGGUCGGCUAGUGGCCCGGAGGCGCGCUCCAAAAGUACCUGCGGGUGAUUUGCCGGACCCGGUCCCCUUUUGACGGUGUACGAGGGCUCGAUGCAUCCCUCUGGUGGGAUUCCGUUACAAAAUCGUUCCCGUCGAUCUCGGAAAUGUCCUAGGGUACCUCGGGAGCGUAGCCCGAGCCUUGGUUAUGUAUCGAACGUACCCAGGGUCAUCCCUCGCUCUGGGUGCUCUGAGGCGACUGUCAGAACCCUUCGGGGGCCAGCCUACGAACCCCUGAUCAGUAGUGGGCGUGGAGCCCGAGUGGCCUGAGGCGGCCGUUGAACCCUUCCGAGGGGCCAGCCUUCGAACCUUUGACCAGUAGUGGGCGCGAAGCCCGAGUGCUCUUAGGCGGCUGUUGAACCCUUUCGAGGGGCCAGCCUUCGAACCUCUGAUCAGUAGGGGGGCUCAGGGCCCGCUUCCUUCGCAGAGAAGGAUCCCUUUCGGAGUAUCCCCUUUCCCAGUCCCUGUGGCAAGAGAGAGAAAGAGGAAGUGGAAAAGGGUAUGAAAUCGAACGACAUGGCGUACCUUUUUUGACGCGGUCAUUAUGGCGGAGGUGAAGCGUCGCCUGCUUCGCCUGCCAAAGGUGCCGCCUGUCCUGCCGCAGAGUUAAUGCGAUGGGACGAGUGGUUCGCGGGGCAGCCGUUGUGCGUGCGCGAGCCGUUCGAAGAACGGAACACGGGCGCGUCGUCUUCACGCCGUGGGAGAGGGUUCUCUCGCUGUCCCAGGAGGGGGCGUGAGCUUGCUGACGACUUGACCGCUGCUUCCGCCCGCUGCCACUGCCAUUACUGACGACCCAUUUCUGGCCAUAUCGACCGUCGCGCCUUCUCCCGUGGCUGACUGACCCGUGACCGAUGUGCUCGGCUGGCAAUGUUGGGUCAUGCGCAGGGUCGCCUUGAGUCGCGGUACCGGUUCCGCAGUCGAGAAGGCGCGGUACUGGCGUGAGUGGCGGUGCAGUUUCUCGCACGUAGUAACCGGCGCGCCGGUUACAUGACGUGUGGGCCUGGGCCUCCAUGCUGGACGCGUCGAAGUCGAAAGGGUGCGCCCCCUUGGUGCAGUUGCAUGCCGCCUACAUGGCGGUCCGCCCUUUCACCCGCUGGUCUGGGCGACAUUGGAGGAAAGCUUGUAACCGCUGGGCAGUUGCGCGCACCGCGCAUGACGGUUUUGGCUCCUUCUGUCCUGGGCCAGCUUGCAUGACGCGUGGGACCCAGCCCUCGUGUCGUAGGGGGAGGACCUUGGAGCGUGUUGAAGAAGACUCAGUCCGCGCCGGCUAAGGACGCAAGUGGGGAGAGUCGCCUUUGAAAGGAGGGUGACCCCCCUUGGAUGGCAACCAUGUCUUCGCACUCUCCUCAUGCAUCGCGCCCUUCCACCUUCCGAGCCCCCGGAUGGGGAGCGCUCGCGUUGCUUUCGUCUUGUCGUCGUUGGAGGAACGCAACUUCGCGGAAGUUGGUACCUUUCAGCCAUUGUUCGGCUUCAAGGAUUUUCAUCAGGCAGCCCGACCGCAUCCCCUCGCCGGUGGUCACCAAAGACGGUGACCACCAGUUCGAUGGUGGGGAGAAGCGAGCCGGGCUGCGGCUUCAGCCCCUCCCUCAGCUUCAAGAAUGUUCAUCAUCAGUGCUGGGGAGGGGAGUGCGUCGAGUUGGGGCCCGUCUCCUCGCGGGCAGCGGCCCGCUCCUUCCCUCAGUGAUCAGGGGGAAGGGCGUUCACCGUUCGUGGCGCUGGCUGCUGCCGCGUGUUUGGCUCUCCGGCCUGAGCGGCUUCGGCGCUGCUUCCGGUGCCACCUCCCACCGGGGCAGCCGGAAGAGGUUUCUCCGCCAACGAGAUAGUCGACGCCACCCGUGGACUGACCUCCAACUCCAUGGCCUUGGAGGCUUGUCCUCACCCCUCGAGUGGGGACAUGGGCGAGGGCCUUAUGGCAGCAGCAUCCGCCCUGAGGUCAUCACUGCUGCUGUUCGGCCGCUCAGAGCGGAGGUCAUUGUCGCUGCUGCCGGAGCGGGCGUCGGCGAGCCACCUGGGGUUUCGUCGCCCCGCAGGCCCUCCAAUGUGGGGGGUUGUUCGUACCUGUGGGGGCGGAACCAGAGUUCCGCUUGUAAUGGCACCUUGAAUGUCGGUGUCUGUUCAUUGUGGCUGUCAGGGCCUGAACAUGUAUGUAUUUUUGGCAUGAAGCCAUGUUUUUCCUCAUUUCGAGCACUAGGACUCGCCUGUCGGCUAACUGAACCGCUUAACCAAGUGUGAGUUGCCUCGUGCGAAGGUGACGAGUGAGGUAUCCGUAUCCCAGAGGCGUAGGAGUCCCUCGGCUCGGUCGGCCUUGCCACCCGAGGCUUCUCUUGCUUAGUUAAAGGAACCCUCGGCCGCUCUGCGAUGAGCCGGAGCCGGAGGCAGCGGUGUCAGCAUGGACAGAGGCAGAGUUGGCUCGAAAAGAAGACUUCGUCGGCCAGAGCCUGGCCGGGCCGUCCACUGGCGGGACCAGCGCCGGAGUCGAGUUGCCGAGGCCACGAGCCGGGAUGAUGUCCUCGGGGGACAGCUGGCUGAGGCUUCGGGGCUGCCGGCCGAGCCGUCUGCUCGGGCCGGGUUCCUGGAGGAGACCCUAGCGGCGAUGGCCCGGGCGUGGUGCUGACGUCGUCCUUCGGAGCGGAGAUCCUUCGCCCGUGUUGCCGUCCGAGGCUUGGUCGGACUUCGCCGAAGGUGGAGUUGACGCCGAGGGUGCUGCUGCUCCCCUUUCAUCGACGUCUGAGCCUGCAGGAUCAGUUCGCCUGUAGUGUGCAUAUGUUUUUUUGCGGCCGCAGAGGCCCAAACAUACUGUCGUCUCGUUGUAAAGCUGCGUUUCUUUUCCUCUUGUUUCGAGUAUCUGGACUUAUUUGUCGGUAACAGAAUUGUUUGUCCGAGCGAGAGUUACUUUUCACGGAAGGUGAUGAGUGAGGUAUCUGUAUCCCGGAGGCAUAGGAGUCCCUCGGCUCGGUCGGCCUUGCCGCUUACGUGUACUCUUACUCGUCCGUAGGAUUCUGCUAUCGAUAUAGUCGAGAAGGCACGAAAAAAUCGUUUCAGCAGAAAAAUUCUCGAGCAUUAAGACUUGUUCGGUCAGCGGAAUCGCUUAUCCGAGCGUGAGUUACUUAUCGCAGAAGGUGAUGAGUGAGGUAUCCGUAUCCUGGAGGCGUAGGAGUCCCUCGGCUCGGUCGGCCUUGGCUGCUUACGUGUACUCCGUCGUUUUCAGGAUCCCACUUUCGAAGUAGUCGAAAAGCACGAAAUAUAUUCCGGCAGAAGGACUUUUUCCGAGGAAAAUUUUUACGCAGAGGGGGUUCGCCCCUUCUAGCCCCCGAGGGAGGGUCGGGCUUUGUCGAGGCAAGGCUGACCCUUCCUUGAUGGUUAGACUUCAUAUGUAAACGAGGUAUAUGAACGGCUUGAAAACAUCUUAAGGGUAGAAGCGACGUAGCUGUCGGAUGUUCCAAGCGUUGCUGUAGACCUCGCCUUGACUGUUGGCCAGCUUGUACGUCCCGGGCUUCAGAACCAUGGCGAUGACGAACGGCCCUUCCCAGGGAGGCGUGAGCUUGUGCCGCCCUCGGGCGUCUUAUCGUAGUCGAAGCACCAAGUCACCCACCUGGAGGUCUCGGGACCGAACCCCUCGGGCGUGGUAGCGUCGCAGGGACUUCUGAUACCACGCCGAGUAUAGUAAGGCCAUGUCCCGAGCCUCUUCCAGCUGGUCCAGUGAGUCUUCUCGGUUGGUUCGAUUGCUUUGGUCGUCGUACGCCCUCGUCCUCGGGGAACCGUAUUCUAAGUCUGUGGGUAAGAUGGCCUCGGCCCCAUAGACUAGAAAGAACGGUGUAAAGCCCGUGGCUCGGCUCGGCGUUGUCCUUAGACUCCAGACCACCGAGGGGAGUUCCUUCAUCCAUUGCCUGCCGAACUUGUUGAGGUCGUUGUAGAUCCGUGGCUUGAGUCCUUGCAGAAUCAUGCCGUUGGCACGCUCUACUUGCCCAUUCGUCAUGGGGUGAGCCACGGUGGCCUAGUCCACCCAGAUGUGGUGAUCCUCGCUGAAGUUUAGGAACUUUCUGCCGGUGAACUGGGUGCCGUUGUCGGUGAUGAUGGAGUUCGGGACCCCAAAGCGAUGGAUGAUGUUGGUGAAGAACGCCACCGCCUGUUCGGACCUGAUGCUGUUUAGGGGUCGGACCUUGAUCCACUUGGAGAAUUUGUCAAUGGCGACCAGCAGGUGCGUGUAGCCCCCGGGUGCCUUCUGCAAGGGACCGACGAGGUCCAGACCCCACACAGCGAACGACCAGGUGAUGGGUAUUGUUUGUAGAGCCUGAGCGGGUAGGUGCGUUUGCCUUGUGUAGAAUUGACACCCUUGGCAGGUGCGGACAAUUCUAGUGGCGUCGGCCAGUAGAAACCUUGUCGGAAAGCGUUUCCAACAAGGGCUCGAGGCGCUGCGUGAUGACCGCAAGCCCCCGAGUGUAUUUCUUGUAAGAGCUCCUGGCCUUCGGCGAUGGAUAUGCAUCGCUGGAGGAUGCCGGAGGGGCUGCGGUGGUAGAGCUCCUUCCCGUCCCCCAACAAGACGAACGACUUGGCGCGCCGCGCCAGUCGCCGAGCUUCGGCUCGGUCGAGGGGUAGCUCUCCUUGGUGGAGAUAUUGCAGGUACGGGGUCUGCUAGUUUCGAUUAGGCGUGACCCCAUUCCGCUCUUCCUCGAUGCGCAGUGCCUCACCCUCGGGGGCCGAGGGUACCUCGGGCUGAGCCGAGGAUGCCUCAGGCUGAGCCGAGGGCGCCUCGGGCAGGGCCGAGACCUUCUCGGGCUCGGGCGUGUCGUCGGUCUUGACUGAGGGUUGAUGUAGGUCUCGGGAGAAGAUGUCCGGGGGAACCGUUGUCCGCCCCAAGGCUAUCUUAGCCAGCUCGUCCGCAGUCUCGUUGUAUCGCCGGGCGAUGUGGUUGAGCUCGAGCUUGUAGAACUUGUCUUCCAGGCGCCGAACCUCGUCGCAGUAGGCUUCCAUCUUCAGGUCGCGACAGUGGGAGUUCUUCAUGACUUGGUCGAUGACAAGGUGUGAGUCACCGUGAGCGUCGAGGCGUCGGACCCGUAGCUCGAUGGCGAUGCGCAACCCGUUGACCAGAGCCUCGUACUCAGCCACGUUGUUGGACGCCGGGAAAUGGAGGCGCAGCACGUAGCGGAGGUGCUUCCCGAGGGGCGAGAUGAAGAGCAGGCCCGCGCCUGCCCCUGUUUUCAUCAGCUACCCAUCGAAAAACAUGGUCCAGAGUUCCGGUUGGAUCGGAGCUGCCGGGAGCUGGGUGUCGACCCAUUCAGCCACAAAGCCCGCCAAGACUUGGGACUUGAUGGCCUUUCGAGGGGCAAACGAGAUCGUCUCACCCAUGAUUUCCACCGCUCACUUUGCAAUCCUACCCGAGGCCUCUCGGCACUGGAUGAUCUCCUCCAGGGGGAAGGAUGACACCACAGUCAUCGGAUGAGACUCGAAGUAGUGUCGCAACUUCCGCCGCGUCAGAAUCACCGUGUACAACAGCUUCUGAAUUUGUGGGUAGCGAAUCUUGGUCUCGGACAGUACCUCACUGAUGAAGUAGACCGGCCUCUGGACGGGCAAUGCAUGCCCUUGUUCUCGUCUCUCAACCACGAUCGCGGCGCUGACCACUUGAGUGGUAGCGGCAACGUAGAUCAAGAGGGCUUCUCCGGCAGCGGGAGGCACCAGGAUGGGUGCGUUCGUAAGGAGCGUCUUCAGGUUCCCGAGGGCUUCCUCGGCCUCGGGGGUCCAAGUGAAGCACUCGGUCUUCCUUAAGAGGCGGUACAGAGGUAGGCCUCUUUCGCCGAGGCGCGAGAUGAAGCGGCUCAGAGCCGUAAGGCAUCCCAUGACCGUCUGUACGCCUUUCAAGUCCUUGAUGGGCCCCAUGUUGGUGAUGGCCGCGAUUUUCUCCGGGUUGGCCUCGAUGCCCCGCUCAAAGAUGAUGAACCCCAAGAGCAUGCCUCGGGGGACUCCGAAGACGCACUUCUCGGGAUUGAGUUUCACGCCUUUCGCCUUGAGACACCGGAAUGUCGUUUCAAGGUCGGAGAGGAGGUCAGAGGCUUUCCUCGUCUUGACUACGAUGCCAUCGACGUAAGCCUCGACCAUUCGACCAAUGUGUUCACCGAACACGUGGUUCAUGCACCUUUGGUAUGUCGCACCCGCAUUCCUCAAACCAAAUGGCAUAGUAACGUAGCAGUACAUGCCAAAAGGUGUGAUGAAAGAAGUCGCGAGCUGGUCGGAUUCUUUCGUCCUGAUUUGGUGAUACCCUGAGUAGGCAUCGAGGAAAGACAGGGUUUCGCACCCAGCAGUGGAAUCCACAAUUUGAUCGAUGCGAGGCAAAGGGUAGGGAACCUUCAGACAUGCUUUGUUUAGACCAGUGUAGUCUACACACAUCCGCCAUUUCCCUCAUUUCUUUUUCACAAGCACAGGGUUGGCAAGCCAUUCAGGAUGGAGUACCUCUUUGAUGAACCCUGCGGCCAUCAGCUUGUGGAUCUCCUCGCCUAUGGCUCUACGCUUUUCUUCGUCGAAACGACGCAGAGGCUGCUUCACGGGUCGGGCUCUAGCUCGGAUAUCCAGCGAGUGCUCAUCGACAUCCCUCGGUAUGCCAGGCAUGUCCGAGGGACUCCACGCAAAGACUUCGGCGUUCGCGCGGAGAAAGUCAACGAGCACUGCUUCCUAUUUGGGGUCGAGCUCGGAGCCGAUCCGGAUCUGCUUGGAGGCGUCAUUGCUGGGGUCGAGAGGGACGGACUUAACCGUCUCUGCUGGCUCGAAGUUGCCGGCGUGGCGCUUCACGUCUAGCGCCUCCUUGGAGAGGCUCUACAGGUCGGCGAUGAGGGCCACGGAUUCGGCGAGGGCCUCGACGUACUCCACGCACUCCACGUCGCAUUCGUACGCGUGUCGGUACGUGGGGCUGACGGUGAUGACCCCGUUGGGGCCCGGCAUCUUGAGCUUGAGGUAGGUGUAGUUGGGGACGGCCAUGAACUUGGUGUAGCAUGGCCUCCCCAGUACUGCGUGGUAGGUUCCUUGGAACCCGACCACCUCGAACGUGAGGGUUUCCCUUCGGAAGUUGGAGGGAGUCCCAAAGCAGACGGGUAGAUCGAGUUGUCCGAGGGGUUGGACGCGUUUUCCAGGGAUGAUCCCGUGAAAAGGCGUCGUGCCUGUCCGGAUCGAGGACAGAUCGAUCUGCAGGAGCCUAAGGGUCUCGGCGUAGAUGAUGUUGAGGCUGCUGCCUUCGUCCACGAGGACCUUGGUGAGCCUGACGUUGCCGAUGACGGUGUCGACAACGAGCGGAUAUUUCCCCGGGCUCGGCACGUGGUCGGGGUGGUCGCCCUGGUCGAAGGUGAUGGGCUUGUCGGACUAGUCUAGGUAGACUGGCGCCGCCACCUUUACCGAGCAGACCUCCCGACGCUCUUGCUUGCGGUGCCGAGCCGAGGCGUUCGCCACUUGCCCACCAUAGAUCAUGAAGCAGUCAUGGACCUCGGGGAACUCCUCUGCCUUGUGAUCCUCCUUCUUGUCGUUGUUGUGGGCCCUUCCACCCUCCGCAGGUGGCCCGACCUUGUGAAAGUGGCGCCGAAGCAUGACGCACUCCUCAAGGGUGUGCUUGACGGGCCCCUGAUGAUAGGGGCACGGCUCCUUGAGCAUCUUGUCAAAGUGGUUGGCGCCUCCGGGAGGUUUCCGAGGGUUCUUGUACUCAGCGGCGGCGACAAGGUCUGCGUCGGCGGCGUCGCGUUUCGCUUGCGACUUCUUCUUGCCCUUCUUCUUGGUGCCGCACUGAGUGGACGCCUUGGGGACAUCUUCCGGCUGGUGGCCCUGGGGCUGCUUGUCCUUCCGGAAGAUGGUCUCAACCGCCUCCUGGCCAGAGGCGAAUUUGGUGGCGAUGUCCAUCAGCUCGCUCGCCCUGGUGGGGGUCUUGCGACCCAGCUUGCUCACCAGGUCGCGGCAGGUGGUGCCGGCGAGGAACGCGCCGAUGACGUCCGAGUCAGUGACGUUGGGCAGCUCGGUGCGCUGCUUCGAGAAUCGCCGGAUGUAGUCCCGGAGAGACUCUCCCGGCUGCUGGCGGCAGCUUCGGAGAUCCCAGGAGUUCCCAGGGCGUACGUAGGUGCCAUGGAAGUUGUCGGCGAAGGCUUGGACCAGGUCGUCCAAGUUGGAGAUCUGCCCCGGAGGCAGAUGCUCCAGCCAGACUCGAGCGGUGUCGGAGAGGAACAAGGGAAGGUUGCGGAUGAUGAGGUUGUCAUCGUCCGUUCCACCCAGCUGGCAGGCCAGCCGGUAGUCCGCGAGCCACAGUUCCGGCCUCGUCUCCCCCGAGUACUUUGUGAUGGUAGAAGGGUUCGGAACCGGGUCGGGAACGGCGCCCGUCGUAUGGCUCGGCUGAAAGCCUGUGGACCGGGUGGUUCGGGCGAGGGACUCCGAUCCUCCCCGCUGUCGUAGCGUCCCCCACGCCUGGGGUGGUAGCCUCGGCGCACCCUCUCGUCGAGGUGGGCUCGACGGUCGCGACGGUGGUGCUCGUUGCCGAGGCGACCCGGGGCCGCAGGCGCCGUGUUGAGCGUGCGCUCGGUGUGGACCGAGGCUUCCCGCAUAAAUUGGGAAGUCGCGGCGCGAUGCUCCGAGGAGUACCCCUGCCUUCGGGAGGCAGAGCUUUUGGCCCGUCGGACCGCGGCAUCCUCCAGGAGAUUCUUGAGCUCUCCUUGGAUACGCCGUCCUUCGGUGGUCGAUGGUUCCAGCAUCGCGUGGAGUAGUAUUGCUGCUGCAGCCAGGUUCUGGCCGACCCCACUGGAAGCCGGUGGCGGCCUUGCCCUGACGUCGUCGACAAUGCGGUGCUGGAUGCCCUGGGGUAGACGACGCGCUUCUCCGGCCGGUGCUUGGUCUGCCCAUCCCUGCCCGAUGUUCCGUCGGAACUGCUCAAGUGUUCCUGCUCCCUCGUCGAGCCUGGCCUGCAUCCCGCGUACUUGCUCGAGCUGUGUGUCCUGACCCCCCGCAGGGUCUGGGACCACAGCUAGCUCCCGAAGGAUGUCAACGCGAGGCGCAGGCCUAGGGGGAUCGCCGUUUUCCGGUAUACCAAGAUGGUUGCCUUCGCCGAGACCCCCUAGAUCGACGUGGAAACAUUCACGACUUGGGCCGCAGUCCUCGUCGCCGAAGCUGCGGCUACCAUCGGAACAAUCGGAGAGGCAGUAGUCGCAUGCGGUCAUGAAGUCCCGCAUGGCACUGGGGUUACCGAGCCCGGAGAAAUCCCAACAAAAGUCGGGCUCGUCAUCUUCCUCGGAACCCGAGGGUCCGUAGGUCGAGACGGCCGUCAAUCUGUCCCAAGGCGACCGCAUAUGGUACCCCGGAGGGUUGGUGCAUGCCUCUAUGAAGGCUUCCACCGAAGCGAAGUCGCUUGGUGGGUCGAGGCUGAAUCCAAAAGGCACGAGAUGGGAAUCGGUCGGUACCUCUUGGUCGACGGGCGGUGACGAAGUCGCGUCAGGGGCGGACUGCACCGUUGUCUCGGGUACGAGGGCGACACCCAGCAAGUCCUUUGCGAGCGUGCUGGCGUCGUCCGUCUGCUUGGAGUUGGCGUGUUGUAGGGAAACGGCGCUCGUCUUCGUCUCAGACGGAAGGUCGAAACCCGACGUGUCCCCCGCUGGGGCGCCGGCGUCGUCGACUUGCUCGACAGCCGACGAGGUGCCACCUCCUGCUUGGCCAUGGUUGCCCCGCCUCCUCCUCUGUCAGCGGGGGAGGUGACGGGACAAACCCGGAUGUUGUUCUUCCGCCUUGUGGGGAAGAUGUCGUCGAUUCCGCCGCCGGCGGGCGGGCUGACGGCCGCCAUUGUCGCUGUCGCGCGGCGGAGGAAGGAGUAUCAUGUCGUAGCUGUCGUCGAGGGACAUGAACUCAGGACUCCCGAAACGGAGAAUCGUCUCGGGUUGGAGAGGUUGCCGGAGACUACCCAUCUGGAGCUUGACGGGAAGCUGUUCGUCAACACGCAGCAGGCCCCUACCUGGCGCGCCAACUGUCGGCGUUUCGACCCGGGGGUCCCUGGACCAACGAGUAAACUGUCGCCGCGUGCCCCAGCCCAGAUGGGUCGACGCGAGGCGGAGCACUAAGGGGGGAAGAAAACAGGCAAAGGGGAAACCCGCGGCCUUCGUGUUGCCCUGCGCCCAGGUCGGGUGCGCUUGCAGUAGGGGGUUACAAGUGUCCGCGUGGGGGAGAGAGAGAGCCUUACGCGCUGGCCCGUUCUCCCGCGCGGCCAACCUUCUCGUACGAGAGCCCUGGACCUUCCUUUUAUAGGCAUAAGGAGAGGGUGCAGGUGUACAAUGGGGGGUGUAGCAGUGUGCUAACGUGUCUAGCAGAGAGGAGCUAGAGCCCUAAGUACAUGCCGUCGUGGCAGUCGGAGAGGUUUUGGCACCCUGUUCAUGUGAUGUCGUGGCCGUCGGAGGAGAGCUGGAGCCCUACGAAAGGACAGUUGUUGGGGCUGUCGAAUCCUUGCUGACGUCUCCUUGCUUCCGUCAGGGGCUGAGAGCCGCCGUCGUCAUGGAGCACGCAGGGCGCCAUCAUUACUUGUUUGCCUGGGCAAGCCAGAUGGGACGCCGGUCUUGUUCCCCGUAGCCUGAGCUAGCUAGGGGCAGGGUAAUGAUGGCCUUCCUUGUGACGUGGCGGGUCCAAGCCCGAGGUCGGGCGAGGCGAAGGCUCCUCCGAGGUCGAGGUCGAGUCCGAGCCCUGGGUCGAGCGAGGCGGAGUUCGUCUUCUGAGGUCGAGGUCGAGUCCGAGCCCUGGGUCGGGCGAGGCAGAGUUCGUCGUCUUCCAGAGCCGAGGCUGAGUCCGAGCCCUGGGGUCGGGUGAGGCGGAGUUCGUCGUCUUCCGUAGCCAAGGCUGAGUCCGAGCCCUGGGGUCGGGUGAGGCAGAGUUCAUCGUCUUCCGGAGCCGAGGCUGAGUUCAAGCCCUGGGGUCGGGUGAGGCGGAGUCCGUCGUCUUCCGGAGCCAAGGCUGAGUCUGAGCCCUAGGGUCGGGCGAGGCGGAGCUUCCUAUGGCGCCCGAGGCUGGACUUAGCUGCUGUCAGCCUCACUCUGUCGAGUGGCACAGCAGUCCGAGCGACGCAGGCAGCGCUGUCUUCUUGUCAGGUCGGUCAGUGGAGCGGCGAAGUGACUGCGGUCACUUCGGCUCUGUCGACUGAAGAGCGCGCGUCAUGAUAAGGUGUCAGGCGAUCCUUGCAUAAAAUGCUCCUGCGAUACGGUCGGUUGGCGUGGCGAUCUGGCCAAGGUUGCUUCUCUGCGAAGACUGGGCCUCAGGUGAGCCAAAGGUGUGUCCGUUGCUUGAGGGGGCCCUCGGGCAAGACGUGAAUCCUUCGGGGUCGGCUACCUUUGCCCGAGGUUGGGCUCGGGCGAGGCGAGAUCACGUCCCUUGAGUGGACUAAGCCUUGACCUUAAUCGCGCCCAUCAGGCCUUUGCAGCUUUGUGCUGAUGGGGGUUACCAUCUGAGAUUAGGAGUCUUGGGGGUACCCCUAAUUAUGGUCCCCGACAAGUAGACACUCGGCAAAGCUUGCCUCUUUACCGAGUGCCGGAGCCACAUCACUCAGCAAAGAAGCUUUACCGGUUCCCAGGUAUUGGUUCUCUACCGAGUGUUAUGACUGUGACACUCGGCAAAGCACCUCUUUGCCGAGUGUAACACUCGGUAAAGUGACCAGUAUACACCUUUUUUAUUUGUUUUCUUAUUCCAUCCAAACAAACAAAAGAUACCACAUAUAUAUCACAUAUACAUCACAGAUAUCAUCACAGACAUAAGUAUACAACACAAACAUAAGUAUCCAAGUUCUCAACACAAACAUAAGUAUCAAGAAAAUAAGUCUGACAUAAGUAUCUCAAGCUCUGACAUAAGUAUCCAACACAAACAUAAGUAUCCAAUACAGCAUUACCAACAAGUUCUGAAGUCUCAACACUAAGAACAUAAGUCCCAUCGAGGUGGGCGGCUGGACUAGUGCGGCGAUGGGCCAGGCGAUCCAUGAGGGUUGUUGGAUGCCGCCCUAUAUUGUCCCUACACAGAGAAGAGAUUGCAUGUGUUAUACCAGAUGCAUUACCAACAUCUAACUAAAAUUUUGAUACUCAUAGGAGUAUGGAAGAAAGCAGGGUCAACUGUAGGGAACAAUGGAGGUGGCGGAGCGAAACCCUAUGCGGCGCCAAGGCUCUACAUGUAUUGGAACAUCUUCGCCAUCCUCUACUGAUCUGCCAGGCGGGCCUCCCACUCCGCCAUCAUCCUUGCCUCCAUCUCUUGGCGUUCCCUCCUCUCUUCUUCUAGCUGGGUCUAUAAUAUUCCAAACCAAUGUUAUAGUAACUCAAAGAGAAGGUAUAUAACUCAAGAAAUGACGAGUUACAGAAGCACUAACCUCGAGUUGUUGUAUGUGAUUCUGUGAGCUAUCGUGCCAAGGUCGUAUGGCCGGACUCGAGCCCGUGCUCCUUGCUUGCACCUGAGACAGAGUGGGAGUGGACGAUGAGUCGAUUGCCUCGUCGGUAAUCUAGUACCGCCCAUGUCUCUUGCCUCCUCCGACCCUCAUGAGGACAUCAGGGUCGAUCGGCUCGGUCCUCGGAUCGUAUUCUAGGCCAUGGAGGAGGCUGUAGAUGGCGGGGUUGCUGUACGCCUCGGGCCCGUCAUCCCGGUUGUAGGUGACAUCGGACGUCGCCUUGCCCUUAUGGGCCAUAGCAUAGGUCAAUAAGAUGGAGCAAGGUUAGCCACCAUGUGACGCCGACUACAAGAAAACUAAUGAGAUAGUUUGAAAUAAUAUCUAAUCCAGUGUUAUAUACCUAAAUAAAAAAGAUGUCGUACCCAUGCUUCUGCAUAUUGGCCUAGGUUGCGGCUGCCUUGGUGGUGAGAGGGACCUUGCGUCAUCAGACGCCGUCCCCGACUAGCGUUGUGCGCCUCGUCCCACUCAGGCGAGCACCACCUAUCCACCAUCUGCUCCCAGCAUAGAGGAUGUGGGGCGCACCAAUAUGGAAUCAUCUACAAAGCAAACAUUUACACUGCAUAUCAUCCUAGACAUCUCACGAACUCAUCACAACAUCCUCUAUGCACCUCAUCCCACGAUACAUGUUCUUGACCUAUGGGGGGUGUAAGAUAGCAAGGAUGAGCUCACAUACGUUCAUCGCUCAUCAAGUUGUGGGGAAUAAUGUGCAUGAACUCGCCAAAGGUGGGAGCUCAUGUGAAGUGUAAGGCUUACCAAAGAGGAUGGUUAAAGUUGAGCAUUGCUUUUAAAGUCGGUCAAAAUUUUAUUAGUUGUUACUAAGUAUAAGUAGAUACCAAACCAGAGUAAUAAUAGAUCAAAGUUAAUAAUAAAACAUAAUGUGAUGCAAAUAACAAAUUGAAUUUAAUUGCAUAAAUUAAUCAUGCGAGAGUUCUGAGCUGCUCAUGACCGCAAGCAUGGCUAGUUACCAGUUUUACACUCUGCAGAGGUUGUACCCUUUACCCACAAGUCAUGUCACCCGGUUGGCAAGGGGUCUAGAAGUCCCAUUCAUCUCUACCGAGGAGACGAGGCAGGGUAACACUACGAGGCCUUUACAAAGUUCCACUAGCUUGAGAAAACCCGCUACAGUUCUAGGGAGCGCAAUGCAGGGAUCCCCCGUAUGAUCGCUAUCACAGCAAAAUCAACCCGAGAACCUCCCUACACGCCAACUCCCCUACUGCCCUUGCCCCUUUUGAGUAAGGUAGUCCUCCACUAGCUUUCCUAAUUAGUCAGCCAAGGGCAUCCCAUU
rnacentral:lncRNA from 1 species